rnacentral:lncRNA from 1 species
UUCUUUUUUUGUGCCUACCUGUGCAUAGAUCUCGUUUGUUCUUGUUGCCUACUCCCGUAUUUGAGAUUGCCGGUUGUCUGCCUGCAUGUUGCUCGGCGUUUAGCUCGUUCGGGAGAUGAUCAAGUUGAUGAUGGCGGAUCGAACGUGGAGGACAACCAACGUCCUCUCCAGCGGUUUCCAUGCGGUAUUAAUGGCUUCUAAAUCCUACAGAAUGACUCUCGCAGUUCUAUUAAUAUCUAUGUCUUCCAUUCCCUAUUAAAAUAAGUGUGAGCCAGGCAACCAAACCUGUCGCAUUAUUACAUAACUUUUCCUUUUUUUAUUUUCUGUACUAAACUAAGUAUGAGCCAGGCAACCAAACCUGUCGCAUUACCGAAUAUGGCUGACAUCUUAAAAGGGUGCGCUAAAGACAGCACGUAAAUCCUGUCAAACCACUAAAUGCUAACUUACUGCUUGUAGGCAGCUCAGUGUUGUUAGAUGAGAACAAGAUAAAAGUUGGAUACCAGGCUUUUAUUUAAGUUUAUCCAAGCUGGUCGUGAAUAUUUGAAGGGCAAAAUCUAUGUUUCAUUAGUUAUUUGUUCAUCCCAUGAUGCAGAUGUCGAGAGACAUUCUUCCAUUGUCUAAAACAAUGCUUCAUUAGAUUGUUCAUGUGCACAUGGUAAUGUUUUAGAUAAACAUAAAUCAGUUCUUUCUACUUCAGUUAACUGUUGUUGCUUAACCUGACUCUUUGAUAUGUUUCUAUUGCUAUCUGUUGCUCCUUCUAUUUACUUGGAAUCCUUAUUUGUAUCAGGGUGCCCAAACUACGUGUGCUAGUGAGCUUGUUUCUUCUUUAUCUUGGGAAAUUCUCUUGCAAAGGGUCAGUAACUCGGUAUAAAGGAAGUCUUUUUUAUGAUGAAUGAUAUCUGUGUUGCAUUUUCUUGACAUCAAUUGUUGUUUUCAGAUUGGGGAUUUACUCAUGUGCUAUAUUCUAAGGCAUUCAUCAAUAUUUGUGCCUGUUAAGAAGGACGGUUUUUUUCAAGUAACUGGCCUCCCACUCAAUGUUUUCCUGCAAAAGCCUAUGUUUGCGGAUAUGACAAAAAAUCAACAACCCCAAUCCACGAAAGGAAAAUACUUGGUAAGAAAUUAUGUUCAGCUGUUCUAAAGAUUACAUUCAAAUCUUUUGUAACACUUCCAAAAUAAAUUAAUGAACUUAUGCCUCAAUAGCUCUGACUUUGCUGUAGGAAAUCCUAUGUUUCUCUUGAAUAGUCCUUGGAAUAUUAUUGUUGUUUUAGCUGAUUCCUUGUCUUUGUGACCUCAGUGCUAUCUGUGCCAGAUGUCACAAAACAUAUCUGGAGGCCAUGUCAACAAUUCAAAAGUUGCAUUCCCUUCUCCAGAUACCAGCACUUGGAAAUUUGAUAAUCCAAAAAGCUCUGGAAGUUAUGGUUCUGCAAAAUUUACAGAACCCAAUUGUUUAAUUGAGGAAUGUAAUCGCUCAGAACUUCCUUUCACUAAUGGAUCAAUAAAGUGUUCCAGUUUAGAUUAUCAGAAUCCUAGGAAAAGAAAACGGCUGUACAGUUGGCAACGCCACAACAAACAGAAGCAGAUUUGUUCUGAGGACAGGUUGUCAACUGGGGGGAGUAAAAUAAACAUCAGUCGAGUUGGUGUCCAUGAUGUAUUACUGGAGGACUUGGGUGCUACGGUGAAUGAUAAAGUGCAGUUUUUGGAACCAACAGUAGAUAAUGAUUAUUUAGCAAAGAGCAGUGAUGUGACUCAUUCACAUGCUAAAGAGCCAUAUGGUGUAUUGUCCUAUGAAAAAUCACCAAGUUCUGUGUUUGAUGUUAGACCUUCCCAGUGUAACAAUACAUCGAAAAUUCAAUCUACAUUCCCUCAAGUUGGACUUCCCAAUUUCAUGCAUCUCAAUGUCAGUAAUCUACCAAUCUUGUCAGAAAUUAUUAUUUCAUUCCACAAUUAGAUCUUUGACUAUUAUUUCUACAACCUGGUCUGUUUAUGUACACAUGACUAUGUUUUUAAUUAGAAGUAUUAGCUUGAUUCAUACUUGACUAUCAUGUGGGAGUGAACAAGAGUAUGCAAGAAACAGGCCCAUGCCUUGUGACUAGCACAUUUAAACUGUGUCCCAAAAACAUAUCUUGCUUGAGUAAGUUUGAGUUACUCAUCCACAAAUCGGGGAUUAGUUAUGUUAAUUUUCCCUUUUUGGAUGACUGGAUCAGUUUAUUUAUACCUUUUACACUAACCUAUGACUGGAUCAGUUUAUUUGUACCUUUUACACUAACCUGAGGAUAUGGCAACAUAUUCUAGGAAGCAGUACAUAUUUGUUUCCUGGUUUUACUUCUACCUUUUACUUUACCUGAGGAUAUGAAAUCAUAUUCUAGGGAGCACUAUAGAUUUGUUUCCUGUUUUUCUGUAGCCACCUUCCUCAGCACAUGGUGGUUGCUAUGUUUUCUUAGAAUCCACAAAUGAAUAACUGUUAACGUUCAUACUGUUAGAUUUAUAUGUAUUGUAUUUUCCCUCUACUUGGAGGGGUUUUAUGCAUAUGUGUACACAUGUGUACAUUUGUGGAUGAGUAGGCCACAUUCUAACACAUACAUGUUUUGGUUCUUUGGUCGAUAGCUUGCAGCAUACUCCCUCCAUCCACAAAUAAAUGCAUGUCUCGUUUCCCAAGGAGUCAAACCUUUUUAAGUUUGACCAAAUAUAUAUAAAAAUAUACUAAUAUUUAUCAUAUGUAAUAUGUAUCAUUAGAUUGAGCAUGAAAUAUAGUUUCAUCAUAUACUUAUUUGCAAAUACAAAUGUUGAUAUUAUUUGAUAUAUUUUCUAGUCAAAUUUAAAAAAAUUUGACUUCUUAAAAAGCGAUAUGUGCAUUUAUUUAUGGACGGAGGCAGUACAAAUCACCAUUCAAUCUUUUGGUGAAUGUGUACAGUACUUCUGCAACUUUGCAGCAUACAAAUCUUUUCAGUAGCUUGCAUAUAUUGCUUGUCCUUAUCAGUUUUUUCAGUGUUGCAUAUUUGCAUUGAGUAUUCUUGAAAAUUAAGAGAACUGAGCAAUUUAAUAUCUUAUUCAUGAUAUCAUGAAUCAAUAAAACAAUUAAUGUUUGUGUUAUAUCUUUGACUUACAGAAUGGUCCCAUUUGCUUCAAUUGCUUAAUGUUGAAUUCUUCCAAAUGUGUAUCAGUGGAUUUGCUUAUAUCAAGACAUGCUAUCUUCUACAACAGAAGGACUUCCUACAACAUCUUCCAUGGCAACCGUAUCCUUAUCUACUUUAUGUGCUGGCUUACACAUGUAGCAUAUGUUGAUAGUGUCUCUUUUCUGGUAAUAAUUUGAAUAGUUUUAAAAUGAAAAAAAGCCAAGUUACUCAUACAAAAUGGCUGGGAUGUUGGAGCACGAGGCAAGGAGAAUCUGUGAUAUGGUUCCACUACUUUCUAGGUUGCAUUCUGUAAUAUCCCUGUUAGCAUUGGUGUUGUUGGUCCACAUGGCCCAGGUUGUAUACUUGUAUUGGUGUCUGGUGGUUUAGUACCUCCUUGGAUUAUAAUACUUGUUGUAGCUCCAAACAUAGUUACACAUUCAUUAGAGCUAUUGGUUUGCUUUGUACAUAGAUGAGACAUUCACAAAUUAGAUUUUUGUAACCACAUAGUUUUGUGAAUUCUGACAUUCAGAGUGAAAUACAACUCGAUAAACAAUGGAGCUGCAAAUUCUUUUUCUGCCUUUCCUACUGAAAAGAAGUUAAUCCAGGUAAUGGAUCAAAAGAGCAAUUUUUUUUGUAACUACACAUAUGGUCAAACAUCAUAUAGCCAAAAUUUUAAUGGUAUCAGUAUCACAGAACUACAAAAACUUGAUGCAGAUCAGCAGAAGUCUUUUAAUUAUCACAUUUGCUUGAAUGCAAGCUUAAUAACCAGAGCCCACAUUUCUAGUUUGAGCAAGCGCAGAACACUCCUUGUCCCCUUCAAUUGUUAGAUAAACAAAACAGUACAUGGAUAAAAAAAAAAUAAAGUGACACUGUAAGUACACAAGAACUCUUGCUGCAAAAUAAAUUUGGUCAAGGAUAAAGUGACCCAAGUUGUUGGACCCUUCCCCUGAACCUGCGCAAGCAGGAGCUACGUGCACUGGGGCUGCCAUUUUAUAAAAAUACCUGGCACAUUUGCACAUUAGUUACAGCCUUGCAUGUAGUAUUAGUUUAGAUAGGUUUUACCGUUUUAGCAACACAUAAGAGUUAAAUAUGAAGCGACACCAGUGAUUCAAUUUCAGGCGACAAGGUGUUGUAACUUAUAACUUGGGCAGAAAUGUUAGGCAAACUCAAGAGCUAAGAUAUGUGAUCGCAUCAUAAUGGUGAGAUGCUCCUGUAUCUUACAUAUGGACCUGAAUUCUUAGCUAAUGUCCAAACUAAAGUAGGUUUCUAUCAAAAGUCUACUCUUAUGUGUUAUGAUAAUGGAACAUUUGUAGCAUUGUGAUAUGGGUUAAAAAAAUACAGUUUUGUCACAUGUGUAGUUUCCUUUGAAUUUACUCAAUCUUAAAGUGUGUAAAUGUAGAACAUGACUAAUGCAGUGGUUAGACACCCAGUUGUGGUGCCAGCCAGCCAGGUCACCCUGAAUCUCGCAGAAAAAACAUUGCCUUUUUUGAGUAAAUGCUUUCAGAGUUAUAUGGGAUCAUGUCGUGGGCUUCUGUCAUUUGGCACCUUUCUUUACUCUUAGUGGCAAUGCUCUAGCCUCUAGGAAUGAUUCUGCCAAGGAUUGAGUUUUUUUCUUAAAGCAUGUAAAGGGUAUAUGAAUUUUUGUUUGUGUUUGUUUGGUAUAUGAUUUUCUUCUGCCCAAUGUGCUGAUUCUUGCAAUGUAGAUUUAGGAUUUGUGCGAUACCUCUAGGAGCAUAGAAGCACUAAUCAUGUUACAAUAAUAUUUUUUUCUUCCACCAGUUAACCUUUUAGCAACCCUGCUUUUAUGAUUUUUCAUACAGUAUUGUAUGUUAGUUUUCCUUAAUCAGUGCUGUUAGACAUAUUAAACAGAAGGAAAAGAUCAGAUGCAUUAUCUCUUAUAAUACAUAUAUUUGGAAUCAAGGGAUGCUGCACAAAUUUACUGAAACGUGACUGCCAUGUGUCUAGUACAACAAAUUCUAAUUGCUUGUGAGUCAAAUAUGUAACUAAGUAUAUUGUUAGUAAGGUUUAUUAAGUGAAGAAGCUUCCUAAUAUUUAACAUAAACAAGCUUUAGACUAAACGUGGAUAUUUCAUCAUUAAGCAAAAAUCCAUUCAAUGGAACAUUUCCAUUUGAUUGGCAAAGGUGGGUCCAGUACAUAGAUCCAUAAUGGAUUACACUCAUCACCAUAUGCUGCUCUAUGAACAUAUAAUGUAGGUUGAGUACUAAUCCAGACCAUGGAAACAGAUGAUGGCUACAUGGUAACGUUUGUUUCAUUAUUUUGUUUGCUAUAGUCUCUUUCUAUCAAAAGCAGAUAUUACUUAAAAAUAUCCUUUCAAGGCAGUAAGGUUUUUUGCUGAACCUUCAGAUCCAAAUAUACGUAUGUGUAAUUACUGCCAGUGCAAGGCGAUUAAAACAUCACAUUCUAGAUGUUGAUACAGCCAUUGUUGGAAUGCAUAAAUCAAUAGUUUUCUCCACUUAUGUUUUCAGCUUCAAUUUUUUCUAAUAACGCAUGUUCACAUACCUACUAGAACUCUAGAAGCUACGGGUGUUUACUCAUCCUUAUCUCUCCCAAUUAAGGAUCAUAUGUUUACAGGCUACACAUCCAUGUUUACUGAUCACUCUCUCUAAUGUCUUUUCUUAUUGACUUUAUUAAUGUAAAUUUCUAAGCUUUUUGUUGUCAGGUGCCUUUCACUGCCUAAACUAAUGAAUAAGCUCAUCAGAAAUUCUAAGCGCUGCCAGUAUAAGAAACUAUUUCUGAAGCAUUGUUCUGUCAAUUCCAAGGUACAUAUGAACAGAUGAACAUGUUGAACUGUUUUCAAUUAUGUAAGAAGCACUUGUUAGACAGCAGGGUGUGGCAUGGGCUGCACUUCCCAGCCUUUCUUGGGCCCUGCACUCGCACAUGAUUAGCAUAGAUAUCAUUGAGAUAUUUUAGGCAAGGAGUCGUUUCUGUUUCCAUAAGCCAAAUCCUAGGUCUUCCUUGCCUAUAUAUGUGUGUUAUCCAUCACCCUCAAUAAUCAAUCUAUUAUUCCCCGUGUCAAUACUUGUUUACAGCACCUAACAGAGAAGUUCAUUGUUACUCUGUCUUUUAUAAUUUGUUUCGUUGCAACACUUACCAUCCUAAAGUUCUUUGCCUUACCAAAAAUCUAUUAUGUUAUCUGAACUUUAUAUAUAGGAUUACAAAUCGUGAAAGACAUAAUAUGUUAGACUAAAUUGUAGUUUUUUUUAAAUUUCUGACUCUUAGAAAAAUCAUGGCUAUCCAAUACAAAUAUGAACGAGCAUGUUGGUUGUUGUAGCAUUGGAUAUUAGUUCUCAACUAUUAUGUUGCUUAACAAACCAAAACAAAUUGUUUAAUCUAGUGUGCAGUGUUCUACCUUUAGUUGCUAUAAUAUUUGACAUAUGUAUAUAUGUUGGUCAAAAAUGAUAAUAGACAUGUAUAAUGACAAACUAUAAUAUUUGACAUAUGUAUAUAUGUUGGUCAAAAAUGAUAAUUGACAUGUAUAAUGACAAACUAAUGAUUGAAGUAAUAUUCUUAACAGCGUGCAACUGAUGUUGCCAAGAAUUAUAAUGGCAAGACACAAUAUUUAGUUGAAGAGAAAUCGGAAUAUUAUGAUCAACCUUAUGUUCAGUUGGAGGCUUAUAAUACACAUCAGCAAGUAGUUUCCUUUAUUUGGGCAGUGUUGACACGAAUUAUACCCGAGCCGUUGCUAGGAAACUCUUGCAGCAAGAGAUCUUUAAGGAUAAACAUUUGGAAGUUUAUUAAGUUGCGUAGGUAUGAAAAAAAUUGCUUGAAAGAUUGUAUUGGUGAGCUGAAAGUAUCACAUUAUUCUUGGAUAUCAAAUAUUGAAUUAUCUGAUUGCUAUUGCUCUGAUCUAAUGAAGAAGGAAAUUUGGUUAUCAACUGGAUCUGACGAGGAGAAACUUCAGAAUCUACUACAUUGUUGGAUUAGCUGGAUGUUUUCUGAUAUUGUGAUACCAUUACUGAAGGCAUAUUUUUAUGUUACAGAACGAGAAUCAAGAAGAUAUGAUGUUUUCUAUUAUCCAAAGACAGUUUGGAAAGACUUAACUAGUACUGCUAUUGCUUCCUUAAACAAACAAAACCUAAGGAUUUUGCGUGGUACAUCCAGAAAAAAAGUAAGACAAUUAUGUUGUUCUUCAAGAGUGAGGUUUGUUCCAAAAGCAAAAGAUAUGAGACCAUUAGUAAAUCUCAAAGCUCAAUCAAAAAAUGUCCUCCUCAAUAAUUGUCAUCUGAUUAUAAAAAAAGUAAGGGAUGAGAAUCCAGACAAGUUUGGUUCUUCUGUUUUUGAUUACAAUAAUGUGCAUCAAAAUCUCUGGCAUUUUAUUUCUUCAGUAAGAAGUCACCUGAAGGAAAAAUUCAAGAUAUAUAUUGUUGUUGCCGAUGUAUCAAAGGCAUACGAUUGCAUUAAUCAUGAUAUGUUACUGAAAGUUGUGGAUGAUGCGUUGAAAUGUGAUGACUAUGUUUUGAGGAAAUGCAAAAAAGUAGUUUGCAACUGGUCUAAGAAUGCCCUCUACCGUUUUGAUUCAAAUGUUUCUAUCUCCAACGGUGAUGGUAUAUGUGAUUUCUCGAUUCAGUUAUCAUCAAGGGGUGGCAUUUUAGUUGACCAGGUACUAUAUCAUAACCCACAUACUGUGUUACAUAUACGUAUUAACAAAUUUUUAUGCAAACUUUUCAUUGGAAACUACUGAAAUGGAAUUAUAAUAUUCAUGACCUUGCUGUUUCUGUUCAUUCUUAUAACUACUGAAAUGGAAUUAUAAUAUUUAUGUCCUUACUGUUUCUGUUCAUUUAUCUGAGUAGAAUUCCAAAAAUAAUCACCAUCACCCAGAAGCGCAAAGUAUUAGAAGUGAAGGGGAAACAUGAUACUUUUUGGGCCCUAUGUUAGCUUAGUGAUGAUUGGCUGGUCGCAAACAAGUUCCUAAAAAUUACGGAAGGAAGUCCUUCAUGUAAAACAUGUUUGUUUGCAAUUGUAUCAAUUAGUUUUGUCCAUGUAAAACAGGUCUCUUCCUGUUAGGCUGUUACAUCCUAACAAUUUACAGAAUAAAAGGUUUGGUAAGUAAUAUGCGGCCUCAGAUGACAUGGUUUGCAACCCAAUAUAGAUUCUUAACUUAGAUAAGCCAUGUUAUGUAAACAUGCAAUAUAUGUGCAAAUUAGUAGACUUUCUUUAUUUAUAAAUGGUUUUAACAUUGCUAGGUGAACAACUAUAGAACUAUUGUGCAAAUCAGGAUUAUAGUAGUGUGCAACAGCUAUGGCAAAAAGACUGUAAAAGGAUUUUACAGCUUUACUUUCUUUUUGACUAACCUCCAAUAAUGCUAAUAAAACCACUAACAAAGUGCUAAGGAAACUUUUCCUGUCAGUAAAAUGGUUCUAGGAUGACUGCCUGUAAGUUGAUUAUAUAGUGAUCCUGUGACACCUUUCAUGCUAUAGUUGUGUAUUUGCUUGGUAAUUUGUUCAUUAACUAUAGUUUGAGUUAACCUUUUCUCUAUCCAAAAUUAGGGAAAAUUUAACAAGAUACAAAAGAAAGAGAUUCAGUGUUUCCUUUCGAAGCAAGUGAAUUGCAAUGUUUUGAAGAUUGGGCAAAACUUUUACUCACAACAAAUAGGCAUCAUUCAAGGAAACAAGUUAUCUCCCAAACUUUGUUCCCUGUACUUUGGUCAUCUUGAAAAUUCUGUGCUUUCGGAAUUUCUUCAUGAUAGCAAGAUUGAUUCAAAAAAGGACGUUUCAACACCUAAAAGUUUAUUAAUGAGGUUCAUUGAUGAUUUCAUAUUCAUAUCUUUCUCCAAGGAGCAUGCUCUAGAUUUUUUCAAUAGGAUAAGAAGAGGGUUUUCCGACUACAAUUGCUACAUGAAUGACAGAAAAUAUGGUUUCAACUUCGAGGUUGCAAAUAGUGAGCAUUGUUGUAAUAGGAUCUACAGGUCUGAUGAUGGAUUCUCUUUCAUACCAUGGAGUGGAUUGCUUAUUAAUUGUGAAACUUUGGAAAUUCAAGCUGAUUAUACAAGGUAUGCCUUUUGGUGUCGGGUUUAGUUGGUGAAUUCAAUACAUUAAUAAUAAGAUAUGGAGAUGAAUUUUACUAGUCCAUCUAAUUUGUGUCAAGAUACUCACUGAGUAGUUGUGGACUAGUGGCUGUUUCCUCUAAUCAAUAUCAACUUAAAACAGUUUGGUUUUGCCAUAUUUUCUGUUGAAAUCUUGGCUUUCCUUGAUGUGAUUUUUUUUAGUAAAGUCUGAUUUGCCUCCAUGAAUUAAAAAAAACCCUUAAGUUCAAAUACCAACAUAAGCCCCUCAACUUUCGAUACCGAACAGAUUACCCCUGCAAAAUAUUUCAUAGUCCCCUUAACUUUCAGUGACUAGCUCAUUGUUAAAUCAGAUUUGACUGUUCCUUUUUACCAGUUUGUGAACAAAAACAGUCUAUCCAUAAUAUCUUUGGACAACACAGCAUCAAACAAGUAUCUUUGACAACUAAUUUUCAUAGUAUUGUGUUGGUAAAAAGAAAUAAAGGUACAACACUAUUAUAUUACUUAACUUGCAUAUAUUAUAUUUUGGAACUUGCACACAAGAAAAAUUUAUUGAACACUAUUUUAACAUAUUAGUCUAUAUAUGGCAGUCAAUGUUUUGGAAAUUUGGCUGCUCAAAACAUAAAACAUCAUAUAUCUGAAUUAGGGCAGUGUUAACAGAAAAUCUAGGCAGUUCCGUGUCUGGUUAGAGAUGGCAUCGGGGAUUUCCCUGUCUGGUAUUGCCUCCCUGUCCCUGUCCCCAUCCCUGCGAGGCUAAAAAUUUCCCCAUCCCUGUUCCCGAUAAAACUCACGGGGGAUGUUUUCUUCCCAUCCCCGCCCCCUUUGGUAAAGGAGUCCUGGUCAUUUUUCUUAACCUUUUGCCUUUGUAACAGAAACUUGAUUCUUCCCACUAAAUCAUUAUUAUAUUUCUUACUACUUCCUAAUUUUGUUCCUGGUCAUUUUGUUCCCUUUGACAAAGUUUCAGAACCUAAUUUUGUCUACCACACUGUUGAAGAAGUAAUGGAGUGCAUCUUAAAACAGGUAUCUGGACAUUUCCUCCACCAUCACUGUUAAGACACAUUCUUCAGCAAAGUACCUUGAGAGCAAGCUACGCCAUUACAUGCGUCCGAAGUGUCAUCCCAUUUUCUUUGAUUCCACGAUCAACUCACCAGGCACAGUAAGACUGAAUAUAUAUCAAGCUUUCCUCUUAUGUGCAAUGAAGUUUCAUUGUUAUUUCCGGAGCAUGCCUGAUGCCAGCAUUAGGAAACUGGAGCUACUGCAUAUAAUUAAGAGAACUUUCAGGUACCAAAUUAUCUUCAAAUGUUUUAUAGUAAUGUGUAAAUGGUGCUAGAUUUUAUUAUUUAUUGACUAUUAAUUAACAAAGAUUUAGUAUCAAAUGUAUUGGAAGUUGCUACUGUCUUUCCUCGUGAUUUCAUUUUUUUGGUGAAGCAGGUAUAUGCAUAGCCUCAUCGUCAGGCGAAUCCACGACGUGGAGCUGCAAUACAAUGUACGCCCAGUUCUGAAGCUUAGGCGAAAAGAAACCAUGUGGCUCGGCCUAUCAGCAUACCUUCGAGUGCUUCAGAAGAAGCAAUCACGUUACAAGGAUUUGUUGGCAUUGCUGAGAGAGGAAAUUCAGAGGUGUGGCCAUCUGGACCAUCACAAUGAUGGUUUGCGCUAUGCUGUGGAUGACUCUCACUCGUCAAUGUUCUGGAAAUUUAAGUUUUAGAAGGAAACUGGAGGGUAACUACUGCUUUGUGUGAACGGGAACCUUUUGUGUCCAAGUGACAGACGAGUGGCAUCAAGCAUGAUUGUGACUUUUAUUCGAUAUACUCCUUCCAUUUCCUCCACCAUCACUGUUAAUGCAGUCUUUAUGAUUUCUAUUUUUUCUUUUAAUUGGGAGUUUAAGAUUUUGGAUGCAAAACGGGAAAGGUAAAGACCAACAUAGGCAGAGCACUUAGGUUGCGUUUGGUUGCAUUUAUUAGUCUGUAUGCAGCCUUGUACAGUGCAGCUAAUCUGUGUUUGGUUGUAUGUAUAUGCUCUUAUAUAGGCAUUCAUCAUAGUGCUUAAGUUAGGCCAAAUGUUGUACUAGUGUGCUAGAAUAGACCGGAUUAGGAAUUGGAAUCCUAGAGGACUAGGCGUCACUGAUGCAGCACACAAUAAUUUUUCCCAAUAAUUUUGGUUCUGGGAUGCUUGUUGUCCGAUUCAUUCUAGAAUUCGAUGAAGUUGGUAUGGUCCCAGAGGAAGCCCCCAACCCUGAAGAAGCACCAAGAUAACCAGCACUAAAUGUUCAAAAGGUUAAUGCUGAUGCUAGUGUUUUGAUAGUUGAACGAGAUCCAGGUUUUCGUCGGCAAAUUUGGGAGUGUCCUGUUAAUAAAAGAGACCAACUUCACAAAGUAUACAUUAUGCAUGGUCCUUUUUAAUUUCACAUGGACAUAUCCUGCUUCUGGUCCAGCAAAUCAUAUCCUGGAUACAUAUCCUGCUAAUAAAAAGAGACCAAGUAGACACAUAUCUUGCUUCUGGUCCAGCAAAUCAUAUCCUGGACACAUCCUGCUAAUAAAAAAGACUGAGUUCGCAAAGUAUACAUUAUGCUUUUCCUUGGUUAGAAUAUUUACCUUCAAAAGUUGAGCCUUGUGUUUCCUUGUGUUCUAUUUUAUAAGGAGCCAUCUGGAAAUGCAGGGUCAGAUAUAUUUAUAGUGAAAGUAUUUAAAAUUUGGAGAAAAAAAGAAUGAUGGAGCUAAUCAUUCUUGGUUCACAUGGGAAAUGAUAGUAAAUCUGCUCAUAAUUACAAUAUGAAGUGUUAUGAUAAUUUGAAGAAUACACCAGGCCAUAUUGAGCAUGUAGUGCAGAGACAAACAAAGAUAUCAAGCAUUUGCGUGGACAUAUAUUGAUGCAGUUCGAUGGUUAGCAUUUCAAGCUUGCCCUUUUGGAGGAUAUGAUGAAUCAACUACCUCAAAGAAAGUUGAUUCAUAUAAUGAAGAGGUCAAUGCAGUUGGCUGCUGGUGCUGUUAAAUUGAUGAUGUCAUUUGACUUUGUAUUUAUUUUACAUCUGGUGAAAGAGUUGAUGGGAAUCACAGUUCUUUGCAGAAAGUUACAACAGAAAUCUCAAGAUAUGAAUGGUUGGAGCAAAAGUUGAUUCAGAAUCUAAUGAUUGGAGCAGACUUAUCAGUGAAGUGACAACUUUUUUAGUAAACAAGGCAUUACUGUUCUAGAUAUGAAUGUGUAAUAUGCUAUUUUUUUCAGCCUCGUUCUAGUAGUGAGACAACAGUUGGGCAUCAAUAUAGAUAUGGUGUUUUCAUAGUUGCAAUUGAUCAACAAAUGCAAGAGCUAAAUUCUAAGCUCAGUGAACAAGCAACUGAGCUUCUCAUUUUGUGUACUAGUUUGGAUCUUAAAGAUGCAUUCAGUCAAUUCAAGAUUGAUGAUGUGUGUUCUUGAGCUUCAAAGUUUUAUCCUGCUGAUUCUUCAGAGCAAGAAAGAAUUAAAUUGAGAUGUCAAUUACAACAUUUAUGAACUUGAUGUGCCUACCAAUCCUGCUGACUUUUCAGAUCAAGAAAGAAUUAAGUUGAGAUGUCAAUUACAACAUUAUGAGCUUGAUGGUGCCUACUGACCCAAAGUAGUUUCAGAAUUUAGCAAGUGUUGCAACGAAGCUCUUCAAGACACGGCUUCAAAAUAAAAUGAAAGAUGCAUUUUUUGAGAGAUUGUUUAUCAAUCUACAUUGAGAAAGAACUUGCAGUAUAAUUCACCACGGAUAUCAUCAUAGAUGAUUUCUAUUCUACGAAGACAUACAAAUUGAGGCUCAAAUGAAAAAAAAAAAGGUAAGCUGCAACUGGCUGGCUUGGUCGCGGAAUGCAAUCGGGGCCGCAUAUAGUACCUACCCUGCCUGCCCAGGCCAAGAAUCGACGGUCGAUGGAGAGUGGAACAGCAGAAGCUAUCACGCAACAAAGACGGCAAGUAUACUAGUAAUCCAUUCCAAUCCUUUUGUCUGCACGAGAAAGCGACCAACCUCUGUGUAGACGACGUGGAAGCAGAGGAGACGAGAGAGCAGGCGACGGCCGGAUACAGAGGAGAGGAGCUGAAGCAUGCACGGGGGUAUCCAUCUGUUGGUGUUGGUGAUGGUGCCACGGGACAUGCGCACAGCAGGAGCUGGAACAUGGAGAGGCACAGGACAGGGCAGAGAAAGAGAGAGAGGUAGGUGCCACGGGUGGUCCGUGUUCGUCCUCGUUGCUCCUGGCCUUUUUUGUUAUAAUUCGGGUGCUUUCAUUAAUCACUAGGUCGUAGCUAACCCCGUGCGUUUACUGCAGCAAUUGAAGAAUUUGUUUUCUCAUAGAUUAAGGAUAAGAAUAGAUAUAUUGGUGUGCCAGGGGAUUGUAGAGAUUCUUUUUUAUGGAUGUCUAGUCUGUUCGUUUGUCAUGAAAAGCCAUGACUAGAAGUAUUGUUCACUAAUUUAUUAUGAGAGAAAAAUAUGUAUGACUAAAUACUAUAAUAUUCACUGCACGAAACUGGAAUUGCUUUGGCGGUCUCAAAUUUUCUUGGGGGCCAAAAUCAAACUGCCAAGGAAAUAAUAGUUUUCUUGGCAGUGCUACUCCACACUAGUUUAAGUAAACCGCCAAUUAACUUAACGGUUCAUGACAAUCAAGAAAAACUAUAAUUUCCUUAGAGGUGAAGAGCAGCCAAAAAAACAACAAUUACCUUGGUGAUCUAGAGUGUUUUUUUGGAGGUUGUCAACCCUCAAGAAAAUUAAUUUACUUGACGGCUGUUGACCCUCAAAAGAACUUUUUUCCUUGGCGGUUGUAACAUUUUCUUGGUGCUUUGGCAAAUUAAGUCUGAUUAUAGUUUUCGUAGCGGCUAGCCUUCAAGGAAAUCAUCCUUGAGUGCUAGAACCGCCAAGGAAACUAAUUUCCCUUAGCUUCUAUCCUUGAAUGUGUUUGUUUGACAGUUUGUGGUCAAGGAUCAUUUCCUUGGCGGUUUAACAACUUUUCUUAGCGGUUUUUGGCAUUUAAGACAAUUCGAGAUUGUGGUAGUGAUUUGGCAUAUGAUUUUGACAUAUUUUACUGGAGGAAGCGUCUGGUUAGAGCAAUCCAUAGAUAGACUUAUAAAAAAAAUUAAAGCUGCAAGUAGUAGGAGUGCUGUAAUAAGGAAUGUAGUUAAUCUAAGGUAGAAAUACUGUACAUAGGGAUCUGAUAGUGAUCCAUAUACAGUAGUUCACAUAGUAUACAAUGCCUUGGGAUGGCUCUAUCUUCUAGAAUUCUAGCGAUAGGCACGUGGUGACCAGCAGGAAAGUAGAUGUUGGCCAUAGCGUCGAUGUAACAGGCUAACAACGCACCUUAUUAAAGUUGAUGCAGACAUGCAUGACCAUAUGAAGGAAGAUUAACACAUCACGUGAUCACCCUAUAUAUGCAUGGUCUCCAUGCUGGAGAUGUACGUAUGGCCUGCAGAUGCAUGCUGAUCACUGAGAGCAGUGGGCUUUUCAAGCAACUGGAAAUGAGUAUAGUGGGCGCAGGUCCUGCUAAUAGGAUCACCAUUAGAUUGAUGAUCACCAUUAAUGCGUCGGUUUCCAAUAUCAGUCUUCCCACACCAAGAUUCAAGGCUGCUUUGGACCCCAUGUAGGCAGGCUACUAGUUCAGCCUGGAACACACUCAACAUGUAGUCGAGCUUCUUCCCCCUACCGGCAAGCACAACAUCAUCAUCAUGAUCUCUAAAGAGGAGACCCCAGCUGCCUGAAGCCGUCUCCUCUUUAAAUGAUGCAUCACAGUUUAGCUUUAGGACUCCUUCUGGAAGUCUAGUCCACCGCCUUUUAACCUUCAGAUGAGUCUGUUUUAGUGUUUUUCAGUGUUAAAUGAUUUGGUAUCUUCAUUUAGCAUAAGACCUGAUAGAACGUGCCAGCAGUUCUGAACUCCUUCGCCUUCGUUCCCUUUUCUGGAACUGCAUUUCGUUUAGACCACAAGUACCACAGCGUGAUCGCCAUUUUGACCCUGUCGUUCUGAUCUUUUGCUUUCAUGAGAUGCUUGUUGUUUCCCACACGCGGCCACGGCUUGGCUGCUAGUAGUGAGUUAGUGACCGAUCUCUCUCCAUCAUCAGUUCUUGCCACACCUGCUUGGCAAACUUGCACUUAAAAAGAUAGAUGAGCUCGUCCUCUUCUCUGCUCCUCGCCACACAUCGGUCCCCUUCUGUAUAAGAUUGUGUCGGAGGGGAUGGCUGUCAUAACGCCAUAUAUAGAAAGUGUCUGGUUUUGCCUGGACAUUUCAUGUCCCACAUUUGACGCCACAACGGAUUAAUUUCCCGUUGGAUUAGGACCACUGCUGCUCCCUCCUUGUUCACCCUCCCCGUACUCUACUACGAAGAAUAUCAUGCCGACACAUCUUGUACGCACUGGGAGAACACUGAAGCAGCCAAACUUAUCGAGGUACUAGGCCAGUUGUUGUCAUUGCCUUCGAGGACAGGCAGAGCAAGCUAGGAUAAUGCGGGCGUCUUCUUCCCAAAAAGAUGUCCUUGAUUAGUUAUUCAUCCCACGAGCCCGUGAUCGGAUUAAUUAUUAGCUCAUCUACAUGGGUGAGUAGGAUGGUACCUUUAGGGCACUCCCAAUGCAAGACUCUAUCACAGAGUCCAAGACAAUUAAUUACAUAUUAUUUAUGAUAUUUUGCUGAUGCGGCAACAUAUUUAUUGAAGAAAGAGAUAGAAAAAAUAAGACUCCAAGUCUUAUUUAGACUCCAAGUCCACAUUGUUCGAGGUAAUAAAUAACUUUAGACUCUAUGAUAGAGUCUGCAUUGUGAGUGCCCUUAGGGAUAAUUGGUCUCCUUGAGCAGUCCCUUGGAAGCCAUGGAUCUGCUCAAAUCUUUAAAUUUCUCCAUCAAAUCUCCAUUUAACUCUAAUUCUGUAUGAAACUAUAUUUGUGUGCUUUCCAUUAUCAACUUAAUCCAUUGCUACACAAAACCCAUUCUCCACAGCGUCGCUUCUAGAAAAUUACAUUCAACGCAAUCAUAAGCCUUACUCAUAUAUAAUUUGUGAGCUACACAUGACCCAAAUCUCCAUCCCUAUUAUAUUCAACAAAAAUGUGUUAAUUCAUAGGCUAUCAAUAUAUUGUCCGAGGUCAACCUCCUAGGUACAAAGGUGCCCUGAUUUGGAGUUAUGAUAUCUAGCAGUACAUAGUGUAGUCUACAAGACAGUACUUUUGAGAUCACCUUGUACACCAUGUUGCAAAGGUUUAUCGGCUGGAGCUCAGUUACUUUCUUUGAGUGUUCGGUCUUCGGGAUCAAGGCUAUGGCAGUGUCGUUCCAGCCCUCACGAAUGUUUUGACCAUUCAUAACUAGCAUAACUCUAGUUGUCAACUCCCCCCCCCCCACACACACACACAAAGUCCUAGAACUCCUUGAAGAAAAGCGAUGGCAUACCAUCUGGACCAUUAUCGAGUCCAAUGCUCAUUCAUGUGGGGUGUAACACGGGGCUGUACAGCUUCAAGAAUUUACUGCACCCUCCCCUCAUCACCACCGCCACUAGACCUGAAAAGCUAUGCAAAAUGGUUAUCAUUGAAAGCCUUCUUCUCCUCUUCAUUCACCACCCAUCCUCCUUUUUUAAAAAUUUCGUAAACAAUUUCUCCUUCGUUCAGAGCAUGUUUUGUGGAAAAACUAGUAUCGCGAUCACCAUAUUGUAACCAAUUUACAUGUGCUCUUCGCAUGUAAUACAAGUCUAUUUGCUGAUCCAAUCUUUCAACUUUAAAGCACCAGACCCAAACUGCCUCCCUCCCUACUGCUGCAUCACUGAUCGUCUCGUGUCUUCAUUUCUCUAACUACUUCUAGGCUAGACGCUUCUCCAUUUCCUCUUUCAACCAGUUGGCCUCAAACUUGAAAAGAUUUGAGCCCCUAGCCAGACUCCUAUUGAGCGGCCUCUCUAUUAUAAUAACCACCAAACCUGGUCAGAAUGAAACGUAUCCCCAUUCUUUACAAACACUAGUGGAAAUUUCUGCCUCUCCACUCCGCGUCCGCCAUUGCGCUGUCCAACCUUUCCCUAAUGUGGUUAUCCCCUUGGUCUGUUUGUUCCUCCACGUGAAAACAUCUCCCACAAACCCCAAAUCAUGGAGACCACACAACUCCAGCGUUCCCUUGAAUCGAUCCAAGCACACAUGUGCCCUCGGCAAGCCCCCUUCCUUCUCAUGGUGGAAAAGAGUCUCGUUGAAGUCCUUGGCACACAACCAUGAUAUCAAGGGUGGAUGUUGUGUUUGCAAAUCACACACAACAUCUCCCACAUCUUGAACUUCAACUUUGUCUUCGCAUCACCAUAGACCCCCAUAAAACGCCAUCCAUCCCCACCAGUCUCUGAGACCUCCACAUCAAUAUAGUACUUCAAUUUGCUUUGUAGUAACAUAUUGACACCUCUUCUAGAUCCGGACCAAAACCUAAUAAAUAACUUGAGGAAGAGAGGGACAAUAAAGAGCAAAUAACAGCAGGUAAACACAACAACAAUAAACAUGUGGGACACAAAAAUUUAUUCUGAGGUUCGGCUCGCCACUAAGGCUUGUGUACAUCCUCAUUGUUGAGGUGACCACUAAGGUUGGAGUCUUUUCACCUCCUUGAAUCUCGCAAGCAACCACAAAGGUAAACUUGAGUUCUUUACUAGAAAAUUUAUGGUGAUACAAAACUUUCUAAAGUUUUCCUACAAAUUGGGAGCUCUUGGACGACGUCUAGCCAGUUAGGGGCAAAGCUCCAAAAGUAACAAAUGCAAAUCCAACCAACUUAACGAAGAAAUCAAGUGCUCAAGCUUAAAUCGAUGUUUCUCUCACCAAAUCUCUUCUCUCAACUCAAUCUCUUGCAAGAUUUGGAUCUAGGAGCAAAGAGGAGAUGAGAGGGUGAGCUUGAGAACACUUUUACUGAAGGUGUUGUCAAGUGAAAUAAGUGGGUAACAAUUAGAAAAGAGGAGAGAGCUAUUUAUAUUCUUAGCUGAAAUCCAACUGUUCAGAUCUAAGCUAAAACUUUUGUCUCUAUACCAAAACACUAUUCAUAUGUAAGUCCACUGGGCUUGCUUGCAAAGGGAGCUAGAACUUCCGGCAGUUGCCCGAACUUCCAACAUACGAAAGUCUACAAAGAGCAACUAAGUGUUUGUGAGGUGAUUUUAUGUCACUCUCUUGAUUUUUAUUAUUAUGCUUGAGCACUCUAUCUUCCUCAGACCAAAUAAAUUUACAUCUCUUUUUAUAGUGCGGCAUAGCCUAAACUCAAGAUCAAAUAUCAAAGAAUUUAAAUGUCUUUGAGUCCAUCACCGCAUCCUUUUGUAAAUUGGGCUCCACGAUCUUAUGUAUUAUCCUCAUUCUUAUUUUACCUACUUGUCAUCUUGAUAAAUCUCAUUAGUCCUCUAAUCGUAUGAUCAUUAUCAUCAAAACCUAUAAUUAGGACUUGACUGCACUUACAAUAUGAGACUUGCGAGAAGGUGAAGAGAAAAUGGUUGUUGCCAAGAUCCUUGCAUUCCAUGCCAUCUCCAGGGCACCAGAUCCAGCCAAGGGCCUCAACCUUGAUCGCCCUUUCUGUCAGCACCUUGCCCACCGCCGGAAGAUCCUUCGAUCUACUCUCCAAAACUGAACUCCCCCACCACCUUAGUUUCAUUAUUCUCCUUCUCGGACGGCCUCAAAGUUCUCCGUCAAGCCCUCCACCUUUUCUGAUACAAAAAUGGUCGCAUAUAAAUGAGAUGAAUACAAUUAUAAUAUUUAUUUAGAAUCAUCGAUAUAAUAGGAUAUGUACAGUAAUGCAAUAUAUUAUGUCGCUGAUUUUUUUUAGAAUUACAUUGUACAAUGUAGACGUCAAUACAUAGCCACACUCACCUAUAUGAACAUAUGUAGGUAAACCCUACCUCUAGAAGCACCUUGACUGAUAGGUCUCGACCGUGUUGUUCGCUUGACUGAUAAGUCAUGACUAAAAAUACUGUUUGUUGAUUUUUUUAUAAGUGAAAAAUACUGCUGAAUAGCUGACAGAUUCAGCAGAUAAGUUCAAACAAACUGACACACUUACUGUUGUCAGAGAUGCCGCCUAUAUUAAAUUUUAAAAUAAAUUCGAAAAAUACGAGCACCUGCUUUUUAAUAUAUGUUAAUUAUAUAAUAUUUUGUUAGCUAGAACAUUUUUUAAAUCAUAUAUGUAUGUAUUUUUUAUACACAUAAGAUUUUGUGUAGAUAAUAAAUCAAAUAAAGGCCCCAACACUUGCAGGAAGCCGGACAUGCAGCUUCGAAGAAACGAGUAGUGCAAAUGUAUCCCGUACGUCCUCCUCCGGCUCUCUGCCCCGGGUACAAUGGCAGCGAGGCGACGCACGCGAUCGGGCGAGGGCGAUCCCACUACUACACAACUGUUAACAGUGACGGACACUUUACGUUUACCACAGCGGACAUUGGCGUCCGCCACGAAUGGAAGGUCACGGUUAAUCGUGGACUCACCGUGGCGGGCGCCUAUGCCCGCUGCGUAAAAUGGAAUUACCGCAGCAGGCAACAUAAGGUGUCCGCUGCGGUUAAUCUCAUUAACCGCAGCGGGCACCUUAUGUUGCCCGUCACGGUUAAUGAUUUAAAAAAACAAAAAAAAUCUGGACAGGCCCGCCGAGCCCAUCCAGAGGCCCGACGAGCCCAUCAAGGAAACCCUAGCACCGCCGGUAGUUGACGGUGUACCAGUGCACGACGACCUUGGCAGCGGCGUAGGGGGAGCGCGGGUGGAAGGGUGUGUCCUUGCUCUGCGGUGGCGGCGUGGAGCUGAACAUCUCCGAGGAGUCGCAUGGUAGUAGCGGAUGGGCUUGCACGAGAGGCGGACGACCACGAGCAUGUGGAGCGCCCUCGUGGCGGUGACGUCGGCAGUGUAGUCGGGGACCUCGAAGGAGAUGGCGACGUGCGACUGCGCGGCGAGGUUGUAGACCUUGUCGGGGCAAAUGGCGUCGAGCGCGCAGCGGAGGGACGAGGAGUCGGAGAGGUCAGCGUAGUGGAGCCGCAUCGGGGGCCGCGGCGACGACGACACCGCGUGCAGGUCGUGGUAGAUGUGGUCCAGUCGCUGCGUGUUGAAGUUGGAGGAGCGGCGGAUGUGGUCCAGCACCUCGUACCUCUUGGAUAGGAGCAGCCCCGUGAUGCUCGUGAUCAGCGCCACCUUCCGCGCCGGCGCAAGGGCAGUGGCGGCCGCGUUGUUGGAAUGAGCCAUUUGGGAAGCGAGGGAGGAAGGGGAUUGCAAAUUUGGGGUAGAGGGUUGGCGGUCAGAUCUGCUCUCGCAGGGGGAUGGAGUAUUUAUAUGACCCUUGCUAUCGGGCCACUGGUGGGUUAUUUGGGCUUCGAAAUUUACUGUGACGGGCAUGAUAGGUUGCCCGCUGCGGUAAAUCAAUUUACCGCAGCUGACAUCUUAAUAUGUCCGUCACGGAAAAUAUAUAUUUACCGCAGCGGGCAAAAGUGUCCGUCGCGGUUAAUUAAAAGUGCCCGUCAUGGUAAAUCAUGAGAUUUACCGCAGCGGGCAAAAAAAACGCCCACCACGGAGUGAAUAGUAGCAACGUCACGGAAGUUCGUUUCUGCAGUAGUGUCCUCCUCCGUUUGCUUGAUGUUUAUUUUUGCUGAAUCUAUUAAUUAUUUAGUAUCGUUUUUUUGUCACAAUAAAUUAAUAAAUAAUACUUUCCACUAUAACUUUUUAGCCAAGUAAUUAAAUAGGACAUGCUUAAUUGCUUAUAUUAUCUUAGGGCAGAUACGUACAACACGCCCGGAAAUGCUGUUUGUAUGCAGCUAAAAUUUUGCUAAAAACCUGUUCAGUGUGUGCAGCAAUUAAAGAAGAGAGAGAUGCGAGCCAUGGUCGUCGACGACGAACACGCGUGCUCCCGGGUACAUUCGAAGCGGGGUUGUUUCGGCACACAGGUUUCUUCUUCGGCACAUGUCGAGUGCAGCGACGCCGGCUAAUAGGAAUACGGGAGUAGCAAGGCGUAGCAAUGGCGAUGCCGGCAGGAAAGCCACGGAGUGUUGACACGACGGUUCUAUCUCUCCUUAUUUAAUUAUAUUUAGGAGAGUUUGGCUCAUAAGUUAUGAUUAAAAAUACUGUUAUCUGAUUUCUUACAAAAUACUGUUAAUAGGAUAAUCUUAAGUGAACAAGCUAAGUAGCUGAGGAUAAUAAUUGGCGUUGUACGUGCCCUACUUUCAUUUCGCCUCGGUCGGAAGCCCCUAGGCGGCUAGGCCCUAGGGUUUGAACGGUACUGCACCCUCUCCCUUACUUCUGGUGAGAGUAGCACGUACGGGCGGCCCGCGUUCGGCUGCGUGGCCUGCGUUCCUCCCCGUCGCUCCUGGUCCUGCCUUUUGGCUGCCCGUCUCACUCACCAUUCACCACUGCACUGCCCCAUCUUCUAUUGUAGUACUGGAGUACUAUGUAUAAGGGACGAAUAACAACUAGCCAGCCAGCAGCCACAGGCCACAGCAUACGAGACGGAGACGAGACGAGAGCAGAAAUGGAAGCAGCAGCAGCUGCUGCUGCCAGCGGCGGCGGCGGUGACCUGGCCCUACUCCCCGGCGUCCUGCUCCUCCUGGCGCUCUCCACCUUCGUCGUCAUCUCCAGAUGGAGCAACCGCAGCAGCAGGAGGCUGCCCCCGAGCCCGAUGGCGCUCCCGCUCAUCGGCCACCUGCACCUCAUCCGCCCGCCGCCGCACAGGGCCUUCGACCGCAUCCUGGCGCGCUACGGUCCCCUCGUCUACCUCCGCCUCGGGCCCUCCACGCACUGCGUCGUGGCCGGCACCGCCGACGCCGCCCGGGACCUCCUCAAGCACGAGGCCAGCAUCGCGGAGCGUCCGCUCACGGCCGUCACGCGCCACCUCGCCUACGACGACGCCGGCUUCGCGUUCGCGCCCUACGGCCCGCACUGGCGCUUCAUGAAGCGCCUCUGCAUGUCCGAGCUGCUGGGACCGCGGACCGUCGACCAGCUCCGCCCCGUGCGGGAGGCCGAGCUGGCCGCCGUGCUGGCGGCGGCGCGCCGCGCGGCCGACAACGGGGAGGCCAUCGACGUCAGCCGCCACCUCAUCAGCAUGUCCAACAACGCCAUCAUGCGCAUGGUGGCCAGCGCGCUGCCGGGCCACAUGACGGAGGCCGCCAGGGACUGCGCCAAGCACGUCGCCGAGCUCGUCGGCGCCUUCAACGUCGAGGACUACGUCGCGCUCUGCCGCGGCUGGGACCUGCAGGGGCUCACGCGGAGGACGCGCGAGGUCCGCGACAAGUUCGACGCCCUGCUGGAGAUCAUGAUCACGGGCAAGGAGGAGAACCGUCGUCGGCAGCAUGGGCAGGGACACAGCACCACCACCGCCGACAAAAACAUCAGCAAGGACCUUCUGGACAUCCUCAUGGACGCGGCGGAGGACGUGAACGCCGAGGUGAAGCUGAGCAGGGAGAACAUCAAGGCGUUCGUGCUGGACAUCUUCACGGCGGGCUCCGACACCACGGCGACGAGCGUGGAGUGGGCGCUGGCGCUGCUCAUCAACCACCGUUCCUGCAUGGACAAGCUGCGCGCGGAGCUGGACGCCGUGGUGGGCGCGUCGCGGCUGGUCGGUGAGCAGGACGUGGCGCGGCUGCCCUACCUGCAGGCCGUCUUCAAGGAGACGCUGCGUCUUCAGCCGCCGGCCGUGAUCGCGCAUCGGGAGACCAUCGAGCCGGUGCACGUCCGGGGCUACGUGAUCCCGCCCAAGACCUCCGUCUUCUUCAACAUCUUCUCCAUCGGCCGCGACCCGGGGUGCUGGGAGGAGCCGCUGCAGUUCCGGCCCGAGCGGUUCAUGCCCGGCGGCGAGGGCGCCGGCGUCGACCCCAAGGGGCAGCACACGCAGCUCAUGCCGUUCGGGAGCGGGCGCCGCGCAUGCCCCGGCAUGGGCCUCGCCAUGCAGGCCGUGCCGGCGUUCCUAGCCGCGCUGGUGCAGUGCUUCGAGUGGGAUGUGCCCGUCCCGCCGGGGCAGUCCAAGGCGCCGCCCUUGGACAUGGAGGAGCAAGCGGGGCUCGUCCCCGCCCGGAAGAACCAUCUCGUGCUCAUCCCGACGCCGCGCCUCAAUCCGCUGCCGGCGAGAGCUGCCUAGCUAGCAUCGCCGACACGUACAUGCGGAUGGAUGCAGUCUCGGCUCAGAUGUGUCCCUUUCCUCUCCACGAGGGGGCAAGAACCUUUUCGAUCGCCUUUAUAUUACGGCUUUAUUUACCACUCUGUGUGUGUGUGUGUUACUUACAAACCGGCACGUUUAUGUUUCUGUUUAUGUAGUAUAUAAUAUACUAUAUUUCACUGUGACACAUGCAGUUCGUUUGCAAUUAUUGAGGAUAAGAAUCAGAUCACCCAUGGAACCAAACACAAACAAACGUUGCCUGCAGCCAAAUAGUAUGUAGGACAGAUGCAUCUACUUUUGUUGUGCACGGAUGAAUACUCAGAUUCAAAAAAAAAGGGAACAUACUGGAUCAUGGUCGUCUUUUUUAAAUAAUUCCGAGUAAUAGUUUUUGGGUGUUUAGGCACAAGCUAGAGAAAAACACUGUUGGCUGCCCGAAAAAAUACGACUUAUAAGACAACAAACAGAGUCCUAGCAUAAAAGCAUUAGUUGAAACCAGGGUUCAAAAUUUCGGCGAAAUUUCGCGAAUUUCGGUAAUUUCGGUGGUGGCCGAAAGAAAAAUCCGAAAUUUUAUUAUAUACUAAUACAUGUGCUAUAUAACUUUAGACUCAUAUUUUUUAUUGUUUAUAUUGCAUAUUCUUCUAUUCAAUAGAUGUGUAAUCAUAAAUCAUAUUGAUACUUGUUUAGAUCUAUUUUUUUUAAAAAAAUAAAAGCAUACUUCAUGUGCUAGUCUCUAAAAAAAUUUCGGCGAAAUUUCGGCCGAAUUUCGCAAAAUUCGGUAAUUUCGGUGGUGGCCGAAAUUUUUGCGAUAACGAAAUUAAAAACCUUGGUUGAAACUAAACUUUUACACAUACACAGCUGCUGUAUAGUACAUGUGUGACAUCCUUAUCCACGUGUAAUAAUAAUAGCUAUAACACUGAAACUGCCACGUCUAGAAAAUGUUGAGUACCACAACCGUCUAGUAAUUUUUUUUCCUUGUGCCACGUCAUUUACGUCGCUUAAGCCUCCGAUCGAUAUAUGCAUGGUCGAUCAUGGCCUGCCGCGGAUCCAGAUAGUCCCGCCAUCACGGAGAGGAGAUCAGGAGAGGACAGCCAGCACCGGGCCGGCGGGGUCGUCCAGGAACUGAAGAAGAGGAACCUUGCAUUGUGCAAUUUGCAUAGCAUAGCAGCAGCUAGCCUGUGGUGACCACAACCAGACCCAGCUGUUGCCAUGGCGCAUGCACGCGAACGAGACCUCCGAUUACGGCCUUCCGUUCCGGGCCGGGGACCGAAACCAGUGGUACUUGCAUGGUUGCCGCGCCUACGGGCGGGGCGGGGCGGGGCGGGGACCUCCUUCCUUUCCCACGGCACGGGAUGCGCGCGGACUGACGGCGACAGGACUCUAGACGACGGGAACGGGAGUCGGGUGGGGUGGGGUGGGGUGGGGCGGACCGGGCGUCUGGGAGGAAGAAGGGGCCGCUCCCGCUCCGUCGGCCGCCGGUGAUGUGCGGAUCUACUACUACUAGCUGCGCCGAAAAGAAUGUCCAUCCACCACGCAGAAACGUCAGUUUCUUUUGGGUGUGUUUUAUUUAUAUAGCUACUAGUGCGCUGGGCGCAGGGGCCCCGUUUGGUUUCAUAGUUUUUUUAUCACCCAAGACACACGCAUAACAUAUUAAAUAUAUACUGUUUGUAAAAUAAAAAAACAAAACGAAUCUUUUAAGUCUAAUUAAUUUAUAAUUGAAUAUUAAUUAUCAAAUAAAAUGAAAAAUACUAUGGUAUUAUAUUGGCUCAGCUUCUCUUUCUAAAACAAUUCUCUAUAUGUAGAAUCCAGUGUCCAAACAUAGGGAGAUUUUAUUGUCUAGACUAGACUAGAAUCUGCUGGAUUGUAAAAUCCAAAUCCAGAAUCCAGAUUUCCUAUAAUCCCUACGGCAAACCAGACGGCACCUCACCUUCGUACUCUAAGGCGCGGAUGAAAUUUUUUAGUGUCACAUCGGAUGUGUCGGAAGGAUGUCGGAAAGGGUUUUUAGAAACUAAUAAAAAAGACAAAUUACAUAGCUCAUCAGAAAACUGCAAGACAAAUCUAUUAAGUAUAAUUAAUCUAUCAUUAGCGCAUGUAGGUUACUGUAGCACUUAAGGCUAAUUAUGGAGUAACUAGGCUUAAAAGAUUCGUCUCGUGAUUUUCAACCAAACUGUGUAAUUAGUUUAUUUUUUUUAUCUACAUUUAAUGUUCCAUGCAUGUGUCCAAAGAUUCGAUAGGAUGGAUGAAAAUUUUUUAGGUAAGUAACUAAACAGGGCCCGAGACUUUGGGCCUUGUUUAGUUCCCACCGAAAUCCAAAAAGUUUUCAAGAUUCUCCGUCACAUCGAAUCUUGCGGCACAUGCAUGAAGCACUAAAUAUAGAUGAAAACAAAAACUAAUUACACAGUUUGCCUGUAAAUCACGAGAUGAAUCUUUUGAGCCUAGUUUGUCUGUGAUUGGAUAAUAUUUGUCAAAUAAAAACAAAAAUACUACGGUACCGAAAUCUGAAAUCUUUUCGGAACUAAACAAGUCCUUCACGACGCAUGCAACAUACAGUAGGACGGCUUGGCACAACAGCACACGUGUGCUGCAGCGAAGUUGACAUAUAUGAUGCUUUUGACAUAUAUGAUGCUUUUGACAUAUAUGACGCCUUGUUUAGUUUUCCAAAAAUUUUGCAAAAUUUUUCAGAUUCCCCAUCACAUCGAAUCUUUAGACGUAUGCAUAGAGUAUUAAAUAUAGAUAAAAAUAAAAACUAAUUCUACAGUUUAGUCGGAAUUGACGAGACGAAUUUUUUAAGCCUAGUUAGUCUAUGAUUGAAUAAUAUUUGUAAAAUACAAACGAAAUUGCUACAGUGCUCAUUUUGCCAAAAAAUUUUGGAACUAAACAAGGCCGUCGACAUGACAUGGUGGUAUCAUGGAACAGAGAUGCAUACAGUGCAGACCCUCGUACUGUACAUAGGAGUACUGUAGUGGAGUGCAACGUAGAGUACUGUAGUACUUUGUGCAUAUGGACUUCUUUACUUCUAAAAAAUUUUGCAAAAUAAAAAUAGUAGCACUUUCGUUUGUAUUUGACAAAUAUUAUCCAAUUAUAGACUAACUAGGCUCAAAAGAUUCGUCUCGUCAAUUCCGAUCAAACUGUGUAAUUAGUUUUAAUUUUCAUAAUACUCUAUGCAUACGUCUAAAGAUUCGGCGUGACGGAGAAUCUGAAAAAUUUUACAAAAUUUUUCAGGAACUAAGGGGGUGUUUGGGACUGCUCUGCUACACGUUUUUCAGCUCCGCUCCACGUUUUUUAGGUAAACGGUUUGAGCUCCACGCACUCAGUUCGAGAAAAAAAGGUGGAGUUGUGAGAGCACUUUUUUAUGGAGCUGCUCUAUGGUGAAGUUUGUGGUUUGUGGAGCAGAGUUUUUUUGAACACCCGCUAAACAAGGCCAUAGAGUAGUACGUACCAGAAACAGUUGUAGAUGGUGAGGUGGUCCUCCGCGUGUCCACAAACAGUAUAGAUCCGCUCCAGCGAAUCCACGCCAGGGGAUGAAGAGCGGUGGGGACCACCUCAUCCUGGCGCCCUGCGCGCCAGCGUCAGCCAGCGCCUACACGAUGGAGGACCUCUACAAAACAACGAGAAUAUUCGUUUAAGUAUAUCUAUCAAAUUUGUUAACACUAAAUUAAUAAAUAAAAAUAAAUUCUAUUUUGAUGUGGUGUGAAAAUGUCGAACACCGGAUUAAUAAAUGAAAACAGAUUUACUUUAGGAAAUAAUAAUGAUGAUAAUAAUUAGAAAAACUGCUUCAACAUCCGGUACAUGACGUGGGGAGCAGUACAACCGUCUACACGCACGUGCCAAUUUAGUACAGUGUUUUUUUUCCUACUGUAACAGAACGGCUUCAGGAUCGGACGCGUGUCUUGACGCUGGUCAAUUGGCCAUGAUGUGCAUGAGAUGGAGAUGGAGAUGGAGAUGGAGAUGGAGACGGAGACGGGAGUGGAGUGGCCCCGCUCUGCCUCGUUUUGCCUUUGGGCCCGGGCCGGGCACCUGCGGAUAUGGGAUGGGCCGUGAGAGGAGAGUAGUUCGCGAGAUGGCACUUUGCAAGAAGGGUUGCUACUGAUAGUGCAUCAGGACUGGUAAUUGAGUAAUGGCUUGAUUUGCUCGCCAAAAAAAAAAAGGAAACAUGGCAUGACUGAUGACUUCAUAGUAGGAGUAUGGGCGGCUACCAAUUAUUGUUCAACUAUAAACUAACUAUGCUCAAAAUAUUCGCAUCGCAAAUUAUAGAUAAAUUGUGCAAUUAGUUAUUUUUUUAUUUAUAUUUAAUGCUCUAGACAUGUGUCGCAAGAUUUGUAUGAUAGAAAAUCUUGAAAAGCUUUUAGAUUUUGGUUGCAACUAAACAACGCCUCACUGUUGUUGACUUGACGAACUGUUAUUUCGAUGACACAUUUGGGCCGACAUGUGUAUAUGGGCCUGGCCGUACAUGGGCUUUGCCUGGCCAGUGUACGCUAUGGAUCUCCACAACUUCAGUCCUCACUCACUCAGGUCACACCACACAAGCAAACAAGCAGUGGCCAGUGUACGCACAAUACAUACUUACAUAGACAGGCACAAAUCGCACCGUAAGACCCAACUCUAAAUCCUUUUUGUCUCCAAUGCUGAGUUGUUUGUUUAAUUACUAGUUGGAUAUUAGUUACUUUGAUUGGUUAUUUUUUGGAGCAUGGUGGAAUGGUGUGUAUAAUAUAAAUGCAUCCAAAAGCAAAGGGAAACUAGAGGUCAAGAGGUAUAUGUUGCAAUUAGCAAAGAUUGAUAUAAAUUGACAUUUGUGCUAUUAUAUACCUGUUGUGCUCUUGAGCCAUUUUAAUUUUAUUUUACUUUCUUUGUUAUCGACUUCGUCGUACCUCAAAUUACUUCCAUCCUUCAUCACCUCCUCGAAUAGUUUGCUAAACCCACUUGCUAUCCUUCAAUUUUUUUAGCUAAACUAAAGAAACCACCUUUCCAACAGUUUAGCAAAUGACUUGCUAAAAUUUGGCAACUUGUCAUUUCCUACCUCCACCGGCGCAUAUAUGUGCGUCGGUCUCAACUUGCCAUCUGGUUUGCCAUCCCGUAAAAGCUAGACCAGCACGCACAAGUGACGUGCUCCCUGCAUGCGGUCCAUACAACUUCACUCGUACAUGCAUGAUCUUGCAGUACAUGCAUUAUCUCAAAUGGCAAACUAUUGAAGAUACAAUUUUUUUUACUUGCCAUAUUGUUUUAGCCACUUGCCAAAUCAUAAGAUUUGCCAAGUAAUUUUUGACAAAUUGUUGGAGAUGCUCGAACUAUAUACCUUUAGGCUUUGUUUAGUUCUCCAAAAAUUUUACAAAAUUUUUCAGAUUCCCCGUCACAUCGAAUCUUUAGACGUAUGCAUGAAGUAUUAAAUAUAGAUGAAAAUAAAAACUAAUUGCACAGUUUGGUCGGAAUUGACGAGACGAAUCUUUUGAGCCUAGUUAGUCUAUAAUUGGACAAUAUUUGUCAAAUACAAACGAAAAUGCUACUAUUUCUAUUUUGCAAAAUUUUUUGGAAGUAAACAAGGCCUUAUAGUUUUUAUGUAUCUACAUGUGAUGUAUAUCUAAUAUCUAGAUAGGUACUCUCUCUAUCCCAAAUUGUAAGUCAUUCCAAGAAUCUUGAAGAGUCAAAGCAUUUUCACGUUUGACCAAAAUUAUAGAGAAAAUACUAAGAUUUGUAACGUAAAGUGAGUAAACUAUAAAAAUAUAAUUAAGAAAGAAUCUAAUGAUACUUAGUUAGUACUCCCUCCGUCCCCGAAAGAAUCAAUUCAUAGAAUCCGUGCCAGUCAAACUUUUUAAAGUUUGACUAACUUUAUAGAAAAGAGUAACAACAUCUAUAAUAUAAAAUACACAUUAUAUGAAAAUAUAUUCUAUGAUGAAUCUAAUAAUACUAAUUUGAUACUAUAAAUCUUAGCAUUUUUUUCUAGAAAUUUGGUCAAAGUUUAAAAAGUUUGACUUAGGACAACUCUAGAAAUUGACUCUUUUGUGGACGGAGGGAGUAUCAUAAUAAUAAUUAUUUUAUUAUAUAAAUUUGGUCAAACUUAGAAAAAUUUGAAUCUCCAAGAUUCUUGGAAUAACUUAAAUGGAUGGAUGGAGUAUACAGUAAAAUAUAACCGAGGGGAGAGCCGAGAGCAUCGGCCAACUGUGCACCGGCCGGCACCCCCAAGAAAAAAAGGGUGUGCGCUGGCAGAUCGGCACAGGACCGGGUCGUCCUGCACCGCGGAGGCUGCGAAAGAGAACACAACGCCGCGCAGCCGGCAGGCCGGCCGUCGCCGCGUGGCUCGUUGGUACGCCCGCGAGCCGCGAGCCGCGACCCCGCGUACACCAUGUUCCGGCCUAAUCCGGCGACGUUACUCACGAUGCGAUGCGAGGCCGAACCUGGGGACAGCUGCAGCCUCUGCAGCUGGGGCCUGUCCUUAUUUAAACCCUGACGCCACCACCUUGUGCUGCUCAAGGAGUAGGGAAUACUGAAUAGUCAGUCAGUCGUCUGUCGUCUCUACCUCAUCCACCUGACGAUUCUUGAUUCUUGAGGUGAGCUUGCCAAUUCUCUCGUCUCCCUCUUCCCAUCCGGAGGAUUUUGUUGUGCUUUCGACCUCCUCCUCCCUUAUUCGAUGCUUCUUGCUCCUCCUGCAGCUGUAACCAUAGAUCUGUGGGGGGUUUUUUUUUUUGGGGGCGGUUCUGAUUCAGAUUUAGUUUCCUGCCCAUGGUUUCUUCCCUCCCUCACCAGCAAGAGGCUGUCACUCCAAUAGAACUUAUGUACAACCUGUUCGUUGCCUCCUCCCAGUGCCUGGCCAAAGACUGGUUGGUUUCCCAACUCAUGUUUUAUUAGAUGCUAUUAGUUCAUUGCUAAGCACGUGCCCAGUUCUUUUGUUGGGCAUCAAUGGAGUAACCACAGCAUUGCUUCUCUGGCCAAUUGAAAAUGUUAGUUUCAUUCAUUGUCAGAGUGCAAUAGAAGCGGAGAAAGAGUAUCUGUGAUUAUAAAUAACAACUGUAAGUUUCAGGACAAUUCUAUUGAUUUUGUGCUACCGAGCAGGCUUGGAACUGGAUGCAUUUAGUUUUCCAGAUCUGGGAAUUUGGUCGUUUUGGCCUACUAUGCACCGUAUUUUCCUUCGGCUGCCUUGGGACUCCAAGAAAUUUAACUGAUGAUGGCCCAGAAUUUCAGCAACACACCACAUAUUUUGCCUUUGAAGAUUUGUUGAUAUAGUAUGUCAAUUAGUAUACUGAGAAGAAACUAACCAAAGUCCUGUUUUGUUAUGCUCCAGGUUGAUUUGGUGUCAUUCUCUUUUAGCUGCAACUGCAGCAGGCUGUGAUCAUGGCAUCGCUGAGUGCCGACCUUUUCUAUGACAUACUCAAGCGUCUCGAUGCUGCAGCUCUGGCAAGAGCAGGCUGUGCCUGCGCUGAUUUUCGUGCCAUAUCAAAUGAAGAGGAUUUGUGGGAAAAUGCUUGCACAUCUCUGUGGCCAUCAACAAGACAAGAUGAUGUUAGGAGCUUAAUUGUUUCUGUUGGUGGAUUCAGGAAGUUCUAUGCAGAUUGUUUCACCCUUAUAUUGAACAAGGAUGUCCCUGUGGUUCAGACUAAUGAAAGUAAUUUCUUUGCUGAAGAAUGGGCCGAGUCUGACUACUACUACUAUGAUGACAUGGAUGAGCUUGAAACCUCAUUGCCUUCAGAUUUCGUAUCUUUGAUUGAUGUAUGGUACAAAGACCGUGCACUCUACUCAAAGGUCAUAUGGGGAAUUCCCAACUCAGACAGUGCCAAUGGAUGGUUCUAUAACUACCCAUUCCGGAUAGACUUGUUUCAACACUCAGCUGAAAACAAUGAGAACAAUAAUGGAGAGGUAUUCCUAUCCACCAUCAAUGACUUACCAUCAGUGCCCUCGAUAGAGCAAGAAAGGAAAGACGGGAAACUAUGGAGGGAACUGAAUGAUGGCAUAAAGUUGAGCUGGAUCAUUGUCAACCGGAAGAUGAAACGGGCAGUGAACCUAACGAGUUGGCACCCGCUGAGUGGGCAGAGGCACUGGCCAACCGAUACUGAUUUUGUUCUACGGUUCGGGUCUGUCCUUCCGGCAAAGGAGGUCCUGCCCUGCCAGGUAGCAGAAUGCAUUCUGCUGAUGAAAUUCCAUGUGACGAGCAUGGGCAGCGAGGAGGCUGGGGAACCUUCAACACUUGCGCUAACGGAACUGAGUAUGCAGAUCGAAGACAUGGGCGGUGUUCAUCUCAACGGGCGCUGCAGCCUCCUCCUUCUCAAGGAGGCGCUGAGCUGCCACCGGAGCAGGAACUAUGAUGAGGUGCUGGAGUCUUGCAAUUUGUAUCUGAAGGCACAGAGUGAGCUGAAAGAAGAGAAGAUACGCAGUGAGUGCCGGUUCGACACACUCUGUAUUUUCAGUGGCAUUACAAUAUUUGCUGCUAUCUGCACCAUGUGCUAUAGAAAAUUUUAGAAGUUUUGACUUUCUAGAUAAGGCUAGCUGCAGAUUUAAUAAAUGUUGUAGUGAUGCACAUGUUUGAGAGCUUGUAAACACAGCCUACUUAUUAUUGCUGGUUAUUAGUUCUCCUUAGAUAUUUCAUGGGGAAAAUAAUCUAAUGUCCUCAUAUAUGAAAGUGGAAAAUAUAAAAGUCUGCUACAAAAUUCAGUUAUUUCUACUAGUAGAGUCUAGUCACAAUUGGUUCAGAAACUACAAUAGAUCAUAGUGACUGUAGCUCAUCGAUCAUCUUCCUACUCCGUUUCAAAUUAUAAGAGGUUUUGGUUUUUUUAGAUUCAUGGUUUCUGUUAUGUACUUAAAUAUACAUUAUAUCUAGAUGCAUAGUAAAAGCAGUGUAUCUAGAAAAGUCAAAAUGUUUUAUAAUUAGAAACAGAGGGAGUACUUGAUAAUCCACACCACCAAGAUGACUAGGGUGUCAAAUCCCUAGCGACCGGACUGACCUGACUUGUCGACCAUCUUCCUACUUGAUAAUCCUAUCAUAUAGUCCCAUGAUCACUGCUGGACUGCUCAGCGGUAAGCCAGUAAAGAUGAUUAAACCAGUAGAACACUGCCAGAACAAUAGAAGCUGAAGUCUUAUAACAAAAAAUAUGUUCCAUACACCUUGGUGCCAAUGCAUCAUUACUUACAAAAAUCUCACUAGUAAUGCCAUUUGCACCAAUUUGAUUUUUAAGAAAAUAAAAAAGAAACACGUGAGAGGUCAACAACAUCCAGAACGACCUCAGAAUAAUGGAGGGGCUAGGGAAUAAUAAUAUGGCUCAUUGACCUAUAUAACGCGCCCAAACCAUGUGCAGAUAAAGGGUAGCCUAUACAAGUCACGGAUAAAGCUGCUGGUGAUCAUCAGUGGAACGAAAAUGAUGAGAAUGCUGGACAGCGUGGACUCUCCUGUGGAGAGGAAAAAAGGAAUGUGUGACUCUGUGCAACGGAAGGGCUUUAUUCAUAGCCAGCAGUGUUUCAGAAAAGAUCGGCUUUCUUUUUCUGCAACUCUUGCUUCCAUCUUGGCUGACCGUAGAAUUCCUCUCUGGUCAUACCAAACACGGUCUCAAAUUCACUGUCCACCAAAUAUGUCUGCAGAAGAAAAGUGAACUUAGCCUUUGGAAUCCAUAAACAUGAGGUGCAGAAGAGGCUGCCAUACAAUAAAUUGUAAUAGAUAUUCCAAUGAGAAAACGAUUAAAAAACGUCAUCAAUUUAGUUGCAUUUGUAAUAAACCUAUAUUAAUCAUAAUACUUCAAUUAGAAAAAUGGUCACUAUUCCUGCUUCUGUUGCAGAUAACUGCUGGUUGCGGCACUAGGCCUACAAAUUACUAAGAGCAUCGUUAUCUUUGUGAGCAUUGUUAAAUCAUAAAUAUGUAUGAAACUGAAAGCAUAGAAGGAUACAUUUUCUGGAGUUCUAAAAAGAUGGGCUUGGCUGUGAUACUGAUAAGAUCUUUACCAUUUCAUUUGUUCUCCUUUUCUAUGUCAGUUUGUUUAUUUUCCAAAUAACCUUUUACAGUUUAAACCUCAUGUUCUUCAUGACUAACAGUAAUUGCAGCACAACGCCGACAAUCCUGACUGGUAUUUUCUAAAUUGGAAGUCUGAGAUAUUAGUAACUAGAAGUUACCUCCGAAAUAGGACGAAGCAAAGUUAUAAUAAAUUCCCAAAACUUACCUAUUUACUGUUUAUGGUGAAUAAGCUUGCCUACAAAUGUUUACAAGAAAAAAUGUUCUAUCUAGCAUGUUUUAUGGGGAGAGGAAAAUCAAUCCAGUAAAUAUAAUUUUUCAAGUAAAUGCUAAGUGCCUGAGCUUUAGUUGAGGCGAACUUAGGUGCCUAUUUUCUUCCUAAUAUAAAUAAAUCCACCAGUCCUCCUAAAUUGGUGUAAAAUGCGCACAAAGUUUCAUGUAUAGUUACAACAAAUACUCAGCCCUUUCACAAGGAAAUGAGGUAAUAGAAGAGGGAGAACUUUUUUCAAGGAUGCAGUGGGAAUCACAAACCUCUCUGCGCUUGUAGUCUAUCCCACUAACAGGGUCAGUGGACUUUGAUAUCAAGCGUUCAUAGCUAAAGGUCGUCUGGCCUCCAUUUUCGUUAGCAGUUUGUUCCUGUGAGACAUCAGGCUCUGUUCUGACUUCUUCAGACCCUGUUUCUAACUGAUGAGGAGAAGCUGGAGCUAAUUCAGUCUUCUCAGCAUCUGCAUCAAGUGAAGGUAUCAUCAACCUUUAAUAUCAAGCUAAGGUGUAAAAAAACAAUCACAGAACUCUCCUGGGUUCAUCUUUAUCUACUUUCUUGCAGUUACUAAGCGAAUCCUAUUCAUUAUUGACAAGUAAAACUCCAGUAAACACAGUUAACGAACUUAAACACAUCCCAGAUCCAUUUUACUCUUCCAGAGCAAAACCAAAAGGACGCAAUUUGACUAUUUCUACAAAAACAAAGUGACGCAACAUGCCGGUGCUAAAAAUAUCCAAUAUUAUUUUCCAGAAUUACUACCAUCACAGGAACAAUAUCAGUGGGAUCUUGAGGCAUGCUUCUAGUUUUGUUAUCUUCCUAAAGAAAAGGUGAAACUUCAAAUCAAAUUUAGGUUGGCAACUCUAACCUGCUGUUGGAGACGACCUACGACUGUGGCGAGGGCUGUGAGAUCCCUCUGCAGUCAAAACAUUGGACAGUGCUGCAACAGCAGCGGCUCUUUGAGACCCUUGGGGUUUUGACGAUGUAUUAAGGGAAGAGGACAAGGCAGCCAUUGCUGAAGCACGUUGAGUAUGCUCGCUGUCACCUGAUGAGCUUGUGGGCCUCUCGUCUGACUGAAAACCCACAGGACUUGGUGGUUAGCAGAUAAGAAAAAUCGGGAAGGAUGGAGGGAAGGAAAUUAUUAGCAGUACCUGUUUUCCUUGCGACGAUGUAUUCAAUGCAGAUGAAAGAGCUGCCAAGGCUGAUGCCCUUUGAGUUGGCCCACCAUCACCUGAUGCGCCCUUAUUUCCACCCUGGAAGCAGUUAAAAAGGCAUGAAGCAGAAAAAAGGAAAAAUAACACGUAUCACUCAUUGAAUAGCAAAAGUGAACUUACCUCUGAACGCAUUCCAAAAAGAACUGAAAGUUUCUUCUCAAAAGAGUUUCCAUGAAUCUGUUUCAAGAGUGACACAUAUCAGCUUAACCGCAAGCAAAGAAAAAAGGUAUGCCGAAUAUUGGACAUAUGAAAAAAGUCCAUUAAGUGAAAAAAGGUAAACCUUCAAAAUAUCAGCUAAUCCCAUACAAAUAGAUAAUAAAUGGAACAUAGUUAGAACGAAAAGCUGAACUUGUGAAAUACAGAAGUAAACAUCUAAGAGCAUACCACGGAUCGUGUGUUAUCCCAGGAGAAGUAUGUCCUGAAGAAGCAAGGUUCAUUCCCUUCAUUGACUUUAUAGAGAGGCACAUCAGGAGAAAUACCUUCAAAGGCCACAGCAUGUUGUACGUAUUUCUGGGAGGGAAGCAAUCGUUUAUAGGAGUUGGACGAUAGUGAUCCAACCAAAAACAGAAAGGUUAACACUUAAACUUGGUACCUACCUGACCAAUGUCAAAUGCUUUCUGUUUUUCUUUUGUCUCCACACACUGACCCAUCCAAACAAAAACCUCACCGUGUGUAUCAAGUAUCAUCGUAUCUUCAGUCAACAAAUCAUCUUGUGAAAAAUUGAAAACUUCAGUAACCUGUGUACAAGUGAGCUUUCAGAAUUUUUUGAAAAAACAAGAUUAUUGGAACAUGACCAAUUUGGAUCAAAUCAAUACAGCAACACACCUCCAGCUUCCCUGACAAAUGGUGAUGAUGUUAUCGUGAUUGAAGCAAAAAAAAUGAUAAUUAAACGUUAGGGUCACUAUAAAGCAUAGAAAACAGAUUGAGAAACACUGUGAAUAGAAGGUUUGACUACUACUAACCAUUCCUAAGAGAGAAGGUAUACAAAUGAGGCUCUCUAAUAACAGCAUCAGGUGCAGCACUUUUACUUGUAUAACUCUGCUUUCCACCAAUAGAAGACCAGAAAAUAGAGCUCUCAGUGCCCUCCUUGCAAUGUUUGACAGCAACACCGGUCUGUAGGAUUAGGGGUACAGAUAAUUUAAGUGAGUAAUAGUGGCCACGGUAAGACAUGUCAAUUACUUGCAAUUUUAUCAGAAUCAAGUGCUGCUGGGGGAGGAGGAUUCAGCAAUCAGCGUAGUUCUGUCCAACCUCGUUGGAUCAUUAAUAAACCUUAAAUUAGACAGCAGUGAGAAAACACCAGUAUUUGUGCAUACAAUUAUUACCUUCCAGCAUGAUGAAUUUUUAUCAUAAAGAUCAUUCUGUUAGCAGCUUUCAACAAAAUCGUCUUUCAGAAUUGUUUUGCUCAAAACAGGUUUUCCAUAAGCUUUACAUAACACUCUAAUAGAUAAGCAGCACGAAACUGCAAAUAAACUUGAAAAAUAUGACGAGGUACUACCUCCAGCCCAAAAUUAAGGCAUUCAAACUUCAAAAAUGUUUUCAUUAUACAUUAAUCAUUUUGAUUGUCACAUGCAAUCAAGGUUCUAAAUAGCCCACUAUAGAUUUUCUAGGGUCUAUCACUACGAUAUUGUUAAUUGUUCCGCUAUCACUGCUAAAGAUGCUCUAGGUCUACUAUGUAAGACAUAAUCUGCAGCUAAACCUUUCUUGUUCUGUUAAUGAUCAUAGGCAGGCAAUAGGCUAGCCCUUGAUCACAUAGGAGUAUGGCAAUAGGCCACUCUAGUACAGUAGUUGGUAGAACCAUACAUCAGCCAUACUUGGUAGGAGGAUGAUGUAUGCAGUGUACUAGGAGUAGAUGGGGCUGUACCCAGCCAUGCCUUGUGUACCUUAUAGUUGGUACAAGGCUUGUAUAUAUAUACCAUGUAUGCAAUGAAGCAAAGGCAGUUCAAGUGCCACUUAUUUCCUGGGUUCAGGUUUCAGCCAAGACUGAAACCGUGUGUGUGAGUGUGUGCCUGAGCUCGGCUCAUCUUCUACCUUGGGUUAGGGGAGAGGAAGAGGGAAGGUGAGCAGGGUCUGCUUACCUGGUGCCUGUGUGCAGGUGCUAACAAUUGGUAUCAAAGCCGUACAAGCCGUGUGCUAGGUCCAUCGACCGGCGAUGGCGGACGGUGCGGCUCGGAACGGUGGAGGGGAGGGCUCAGAGCGUCAGCUCCAGCCGGCGCCACCGCAGGUGGAGGUGCGCGUGGUGAAGGAGUUCGGCGGCAGCAGCUCCUGGCCCAUGCUCACCCGCACCAACUACGGUGAGUGGGCGACACAGAUGAAGUGGAAGCUGCGCGCGCGGAAGUGGUGGCGGGCGAUUGAGGAAGAUGAUCGCACCGAGGACGCCCAGGUGGGAGUCAUGGAGGCGCUCAUGGCCUCGACGCCGGCGGAGUACCACGAGGCGCUGGGCGCCAAGGACACCGCGAAGCAGGCCUGGGAGAUGCUGGAGUCGCUGCGUGUCGGCUCGGACCGAGCCAAGCGGGCCAGGAUCCAGCAGCUCCGCAGGGAGCUCAACGACAUCAAGUUCAAGCCCGGAGAGUCGGUGGAAGAGUACACUCUCCGUCUUCAAUCUCUGGCCACGCAACUGGCCACCUACGGGAAGAAGGUGGACGACGAGGACCUCGUCACCAAGCUGCUGUGCACCGUCCCGGCCAAGUAUUCGCAGCUUGCCAUGUCCAUCGAGACGAUGUUGGACAUCUCCACAUUGUCUCUGGAGGACGUGGCUGGGCGGCUGCGAGUUGCAGAGAGCCGCAUCACGCCGGCACCGGAGAAGGAGAAGGCCAAGUUACUACUGACGGAAGAGGAGUGGACCGCGCGCAUGAAGGACAAGCGCCGGACCAGGGAAGGCUCCUCCAGCCGCGGCGGUGAUGGCGCCAAGGGGCGCGGGAAGCCGCCGGCGGACAAGAAGAAGAAGAAGAAGAACACCGACCCCAACGCCUGCAGGCGUUGCGGGAAGGUGGGGCACCGGGCACGAGAAUGCCCGGAGAAGAAGCCGGAGAAGAAGGAAGAGGCCCACCUAGCUCGGGACGACAGCGACGACGAGUGCGCUCUGUUGAUGGGGGAGUAUUGCGCGCUGCAGGAAGGCGAAGCAGGGAAGGCGGAGGCGGAGCAGGGGACUGCGCCGCAGGCCGUCGAGCUUGACGAGUCUCGCGCGCGCGUCCUCCUUGGAGCGGACGGUGAGGAGCUGGAGCAGAGAUGGUACCUCGACUCAGGUGCGAGCAACCACAUGACAGGGAGCCGCACCGCCUUCUCCAACCUCGACGAGUCAGCCACCGGAAGCGUGAAGUUCGGGGAUGGCUCAAAGGUGCAGAUUCGCGGCCGCGGCACCGUCCUCUUCCGGUGCCGGAACGGCGAGCACCGUGCCUUGACGGAUGUCUACUUCAUCCCUCAGCUGCGCACCAGCAUCGUCAGCCUGGGACAGUUGGACGAACGCGGCAGCGAGGUCCUGAUUCGCGACGGGGUGUUGCGGAUCAGGGACAGGGAGCGGCGUCUUCUCGCCAAGGUAUCGCGCUCCCGUAACCGACUCUAUCUUCUGGAUUUGAAGGUAGAGCAGCCCGUGUGUUUGGCGGCGUCGUGCAAGGAGGAGCCCUGGCUGUGGCAUGGCCGGUUCGGCCACCUCAGUUUCGACGCGCUGGGCCGUCUCGGGAAGAUGGUGACAGGGCUGCCGGCGAUCCAGCAUGUCAGCGAGCUGUGCGACAGUUGCCUGGCAGGGAAGCAGAGGAGGCGGCCGUUCCCGAAGACCGCCAGGUACCGCGCGGCGGAUCCGCUUGAGCUGGUCCAUGGGGACCUUUGCGGGCCGAUCACGCCGGCGACGCACGGCGGGAGGAGGUACUUCCUCUUGCUCGUGGAUGACUGCAGCCGGUACAUGUGGCUGCAGCUCCUGACGAGCAAGAGCGACGCGGCGGAGGCGAUCAAGCACUUCAAGGCACGCACGGAGAUGGAGUCCGGGAAGAAGCUGAAGGUGCUUCGGACUGACCGCGGCGGCGAGUUCACGGCGGCUGAAUUCACCACGUACUGCGCCGAGGAAGGAGUAGGGCGUCAUCUCACAGCCCCCUACUCACCGCAGCAGAACGGUGUGGUAGAGCGCCGGAACCAGACCAUCAUCGGCAUGGCGCGAUCUAUGCUGAAGGCGAAGGACAUGCCGGCUGAGUUCUGGGGAGAAGCCGUGAGCACAGCAGUGUUCAUCCUGAACCGUUGCCCCACCAAGGCGUUGAAGGGGCAGACUCCAUUCGAGGCUUGGCACGGACGCAAGCCGAACGUCGCGUUCCUACGCACGUUUGGUUGUGUCGGCCAUGUGAAGACCACCAAGCCAGGCCUUACAAAGCUGGAAGACAGGAGCACCAAGGCGGUGUUCCUCGGCUACGAGGAGGGAUCAAAGGCCUAUCGGCUCUACGAUCCGGUCGGCGGAAAGGUGCUGGUAUCUCGAGAUGUGGUGUUCGACGAGGCGGCGGCAUGGAAAUGGGACCAGGCGGAGGAGCAGGGAGGUGGUGGGCUUGGCGACACUUUUGUCGUGGAACAAAUGACGAUCCACGGCAGGGAAGAAGGGUCAGGAGGGCCAGCAACCGGGGAAGCCGGUGCCACUGCAGCUCCAGAGGUGGAGGAGCCACCAAGUCCAGCGACAGCUGGAACGCCAGUCCACUCCCCGGCGGCUGGGGUGGGAUCCCCUGCCUCGCCAGGGCCGGCAACGCCAGCGGCCGGAGACGUCGAAUUCGCCACACCACCAAGUGACUACACCGAGUUCGUGGAUGCUUACCACGACGGCGAGGAGAUCCGUUUUCGCCGAAUCGAGGGCAUCAUCGGGGAAGCAGAGGUGCCUGGGGUCGCAGCACGGCUGCUCGACGACGACCCUGAGCUUCUGCUGAUGAGCGCAGAAGAACCCUCAUCCUUUGCCGUGGCGGAACGCGACGCAAAUUGGCGGCGUGCCAUGCUGGAGGAGCUGCGGUCCAUCGAAGACAACCACACCUGGGAGCUGGUUGAUCCGCCGGCGGGAUGCCGGCCGAUUGGCCUCAAGUGGGUGUACAAGGUCAAGAAGGACGAAUACGGCGCGAUCGUCAAGCACAAGGCGCGGCUGGUGGCCCGUGGCUUUGUGCAGCGCGAAGGCAUCGACUUCGAGGAGGUGUUUGCGCCGGUGGCGCGCAUGGAGUCGGUGAGAUUGCUGCUGGCACUCGCAGCAGCCAAGGAUUGGGGCAUCCAUCACCUCGACGUCAAGUCGGCCUUCCUGAACGGCGAGCUGGCGGAAGAGGUUUACGUCAAGCAGGCGCCAGGCUUUCAGGUGAAGGGGGAAGAGCGCAAGGUGCUUCGGCUGCGGAAGGCGCUGUAUGGUCUGCGGCAGGCCCCGCGGGCAUGGAAUGCCAAACUCGACGCCACCAUGGCGGAGCUCGGCUUCGCACGGUGCGCCACGGAGCAUGCCCUGUACACACGACGACGGGGGAAGGAGGAGCUCAUCGUCGGUGUGUAUGUGGACGAUCUAAUCGUCACUGGCGCGCGGGAGGAAGACAUCGCCAAAUUCAAAGCGGAAAUGGCGACCCGAUUCAAGAUGAGCGAUCUGGGCGCGCUCUCGUACUACCUCGGCAUCGAGGUGAAGCAGGAGAAGGACACGGUCAGGCUGGGGCAGCGCGCCUACGCGCUGAAGCUGCUGGAGCGGGCUGGAAUGGGCGACUGCAGGGCUGCAGCAACACCGAUGGAGGAGCGGAUCAAGCUCUCCAAACAAAGUGUGGCGAAGAAGGUUGAUGCCACACGAUACCGAAGCAUCGUUGGUGGGCUGCGCUGGCUCACUCACACCCGGCCGGACAUCGCGUUCGCGGUCGGGUAUGUGAGCAGAUUCAUGGAGGAUCCAAGGGAGGACCACUGGGCGGCGGUCAAGCGACUGCUGCGGUACAUCCAGGGGUCUUUGGACCUCGGUGUCGUCUUCCCCAAGCACGGCGAUCUUCGGCUGAAGGUGUUCAGCGAAGCGCCGCCCAGGGCAAAGGGCGGUGAGCCAGGACUCACCGUGUUCAGUGAUGCAGACAUGGCGGGUGAUGUGGAUGGGCGGAAAAGCACCUCCGGGGUGUUCGUCUUCCUAGGAGCAGCGCCGGUAGCCUGGCAAUCACUGAAGCAGAAGACAGUGGCACUGUCAACCUGCGAGGCAGAAUAUGUGGCUGCUGCUACGGCGGCAUGUCAGGCGGUCUGGUUGCGGCGGCUGCUGAAGGAGCUCACUGGGAAGGAGUCUCAGCCGCCGGCUUUGCUGGUGGACAAUCAGCCGGCCAUUGCUCUUGCCAAGAACCCGGUGCUCCAUGACCGGAGCAAACACAUCGACGUGAAGUUCCAUUUCCUCAGGGAUUGCGUUGAUGGAGGACAGAUCACCAUCGAGUUUGUCGACACCGGCAGGCAACUCGCUGACAUUCUCACCAAGUCCCUCGGACGCCUCAGGUUUGUUGAGCUGAGGAAGAUGAUUGGCAUGGAUGAGGUCAAGGCUUAGCAGCAGGAUUAGGGGAAGAACUGUAAGACAUAAUCUGCAGCUAAACCUUUCUUGUUCUGUUAAUGAUCAUAGGCAGGCAAUAGGCUAGCCCUUGAUCACAUAGGAGUAUGGCAAUAGGCCACUCUAGUACAGUAGUUGGUAGAACCAUACAUCAGCCAUACUUGGUAGGAGGAUGAUGUAUGCAGUGUACUAGGAGUAGAUGGGGCUGUACCCAGCCAUGCCUUGUGUACCUUAUAGUUGGUACAAGGCUUGUAUAUAUAUACCAUGUAUGCAAUGAAGCAAAGGCAGUUCAAGUGCCACUUAUUUCCUGGGUUCAGGUUUCAGCCAAGACUGAAACCGUGUGUGUGAGUGUGUGCCUGAGCUCGGCUCAUCUUCUACCUUGGGUUAGGGGAGAGGAAGAGGGAAGGUGAGCAGGGUCUGCUUACCUGGUGCCUGUGUGCAGGUGCUAACAUACUAAACACCACUAUUUGUUUUAGCCAUGAAAUAUCUUUGGCAGCAUUAAUCCUGGUCGAGGCAGAAAUUCAUACCUUAGUCUAAAAGACUAUAAUAUGUGCCUCUCCAUUAGGUUAUUUACAUGAUACUGAUUUAAUAAAUCAUUGAACAACUGAUCCUUAAAUACUGAAUGAAUAUGAUGUUAGUCACAACCGUAAGUAUGUUAAUUGAUAUGGUCAAUGUUAAGUAAUAAAUGUGGAGGCAUGCUCUCCUAGAGCCUGUACAUGUAUUUAAUUAUUUAUGUUCAUAUAAUUUUGCUUUGCUAAAUGUUUCCGUGCAUAAUUGUAAUUAAUUAAAAAUUUCAUGUUUUCUAUAAAAUCGCUAAAUGAAAUAGAUUUCGCUAUAUUCUGCUAUAGCUUUUGAAGGAGCCCACCGCUAAAUAUCUUAGCCCACGAUUUAAAACAUUGCAUUCAAUCAAUAUAGAUAUGGUUAAUUACAUUCACAUUCAAAAUAUAUUGAUUUCACUGUAAUUUAAGAAUUUUUGGCAAUGCUACUUGAAGAAAUAUAGUCAGAGGUGUGACAAUAUCCUAAAUGACCAAGUAAAUAGGAAGAGAGUUGUUAUAAAAGUAGCUCAUUAGGAGAUAGCUAGGCAAAGUCGGAUUGGAGGGAGACUAGAGUAUUGGGGGAUCUGGGAUUAAUUCUUGUUCAUUGCUUUCUUUCCUUGAUACAUCUCCCUUUAUGUAGAGAGGAUUAUUGGUCCCCUAGGAAGGCUCAAUCAAAUCCUAACAAAUCAUAUCCAGUCCUGUUUCUAAUUGACCAAAAUCUAAUCAUAUCUCCAAUUGAUCCAAUCCCUCUAAUUAAUAUUAUGGGCCCCUGGCCCCCUAGCUGAUGCCCCAUAACAAGGUUAUCAUGCAUGAAAAGGAAUUAUCAAAAUUGGUUUCACUAUUCCAUACCUUCAGAAAUUCAGCAACUUUAGCAGCCCACUGUUGUUGUUCAAAAGAACUUGAAUUUCCAUUCCAUAAAAACAUCGAGUUUUUAGUUUGCAAAACAAAACAAUCCGUGGAACUCAAGGAUGUUGGGACCUAGAAAGUCAAAUAACAAUUAGUUCAAGGGAGCAAAAGGUUGGACUCUUUUAAGUUAUUUAAAGUGCAGGCCAUAAUGAGAACAUAGUGAUUCCAUCCAGCAUUUGUUCCAUACUUCAUUUCCCCAUAGCUUAGGAUUUUGAGCAAACCCAUAGAUGCAUAAGACUUGAUAUGCUAUAAGAGCAAAAGUUCUUGAGCUCGAGACUUAGUAAAAUCAACCUAACUUAUAAAAUUGCUAUGGCCCAUUUUUAAUAUGCGCCAUAGGUAAUGGAUGAUAGGCAUGACAGAUAUUGCUUAGGUAUUAUUGCCUACUUUUUCUCAUUAACUUAAGAUGUUCAUGAUGCUUAUGUGAAUGGAAGUCAAUAUAUUUCUAAGAACAGGUAGAGGUAAGAAAUACCGCAUCAACUUGAAGUGUUUUAUUGUUAUGAACUGCUGUUCCAGAAAUUCGAAUGAGAGCAACGCCAUCAGCACAAUAUGUUUCAUCUUUCAGACCCUUCUCUUCUACAAAUUUCUUAUAACCAGAACUAGUACCACCCUGCAUGAUUUGACAAAUACAUUCUGGUAAUUUCUGGAGUAAUGUUACAAAACAUUUUUCAUUUCUAUCGAAUGCUCCAAUAUGAGUUCUUUGUAGACCAGCACACAUUUAUCAUUAACUCACUAUACAUGACAUAAUCACAGUGAGCAUCAUACCUUAAGAAUAACCAUUGGUUGGAAAAGAGCAACAAAUUGUGGUGGCUCUUUUCCUUGAUAAAUACGACCCUACAAUAACACAAAUAAAAUACAGAACUCAUCCAUAGGAAAUAUUUGAUGCAUAAUAAAAAAAAUUCAAAAUAUGAAUACAGUACCAGGACAGGUCUUCCUUUCAAAGAAUUCCAAGUUGUAUUAGCUAUUUGAAAAACCGCCUCUUGAUCUUCCUAUGUAAAAUAAACAAAGAGUAACUUCAUAGAUAUAUCACAGCACAGUGCAUGGGCACUGAGUCCACCAUGAACCCUUGUAUAUGUUAAGUACAUCAAGGCUCAUAUAGUCAUAUAUUAAUUAUAGGACACACAAAUGUGUAAGGACCAUCAUUAUUUUAAACAAACGUGUGCAAUAAUAGCUUCUAUUUUGAUGUGAGAAGAAUUCAUGACAAACAGCUUUACAGAUAAGCUUAAUAAGAAGGUUUCAGUGUCACAAUUUGACCAUGACAAGCAAAAUAAGAAAUAUGCAUUCCAAUAAUGGGGGUCCAUGGAAGAUGCAAAGCAAGAAAGUUCAGUGCACUACAUCUUAUAAGCAUGUACAUAUUUAAAUGACAAUUACCUGUACACUAUUUUUCCCAAUCCAAUAAGUUAGAUAGAACUCUUCUUUUUUGUCAGCAGAAUGAUAAGUGUAGAGAACAACAUAACAGUCUCCACUGUAGAAUUUUCCAAGUUCUUCCUUUGGAAGAGCAGUCUUCACACUGCCAUUAACACACCAAACCUGAAAUAUGCACAGCUUGCUUGUGAUUUCAUUUCUACACUGCAUUCACUAUUGUACUUGGUAGGAAAAUGUGAAUAAGUUCAGCGAAACCUCAAGCUUUCCACCGCCAUCUAGCAAAGGAGGAACUUCGUCAUUUACUGGUGCACUAGUUUUUGUGAUUCCUUUGACAUCGACACCUUUCUGCUUCAACAUUGCUGAUAAAACAUAUAGAUGUUAACAGUGAAUGACAAAAGGUCAUUUGUUAAAAUACCAAUAAAUAAGUAUUGUACCUGUAACUUUCACUCGGCCUUCCUCUGUGCUGGCACUCCCUGCUGUGGUACUUACUGGCCAUGACUCAAACUUAGACUUAAAUGUAUGAUUCUCAUAACCUUGAAUAACUUGAGUUAUUCUUGCUGUCUUUGGUCUAUUUUCUUUAAUAAUGAAUUUCUACAGGAGGUAAAUUUUAGAUAGGAUAUAUUUUGAACAAGGCAACAAACAAUAAAGUUGGGCUGUAGUUUUACCUCAACUGCCGCACUGGCAGCUUUCCUCUCCUCUACCUGUGUUACCCGACCAACCCACACAAAUAGCUCAGCCCCACAGUCAAGUAAAAAGCAUUUGGUGUUCUCCAGAACUGAUUUUGUAAGUGCAGUGUCUUCUAACUUCAGUUGACCGUUAGUGAUACUGCAAACAUAACAAUUAACAGCAUACAAUAAAACUACUCGAUUAUUAAAAAAUAAAGAAGAGCAGCUGAAGAUUAGUGAGGUGAACAAUAUAGCACACAUACACAGGCCAGUCACACCUGAAGAUAAAGUAAUAGGCUUUGUGAACCAAGCAGAGUCUCGAAGUAUGCUGCGCAAUGGUAAAGUUCUACGACCUAUAAGCACUCUCAAACCAACUAACUAAUACGUACUGAAUUGCCGAAAAGAAUUCAUUUGUAAUCAGGAAAGGAACUUCUGUAGAAGUGAGCUGUGAAUUCAGCAGAACAUAUUGGAUUGCUAAUUUUGAUUCUAGCAUUAAAAAAUGUGUUUAUCAGAAAGUUGCAAGUGGUGACUGUCACCCAUGCAUAACUUUUAAAAAAAUCAGAAAAAUAUAAAUGUGUGAAUGCUUGAAUAGGUAUGGUGAGCCCACGUAAAAACCAGGCCACUCAUAGGUGUUAAGAACAAGUGUCGAUAAUUAAAAUCAGAAGAUCAAAUAUAACUAACUGUACACUCAUAAAAAGGACAUACCUGAAAAGCUUUGGUGCUGUAGUUUCAAGAACAACGUCAUCAUCACUUAUUGUUUUUUUCCCUAUUGGCGCAAAACCUCCAAAAAGGACCCAGAAUUCUCCCGAAUCUGAUUCUGCUUGCAGUUUCCCAUCAUCUAUUAUUAAGGCAAAAAAAAAGAUAUAAGUGUGUGUGAACUUGCUGACUUUUUUACAUGUAUGUAUGAAAUGAAAUUUGUAUCAUUCUCAUCUCACCAACAAUUGCAACAGCACACACUCCAUCAUGGUAUUUCUCCUUUAAAUGUUGGAUCACUUCCAACGCCUUGGCUCUUUCUUGAAUGUUGGAGUUUGCGCCGUUGAAUUGGUAUAUUUUAUUUUCAGUAUCCAAGAUAAAGACAUCAUCAUGGUUCAAUGAUGAACGAGCAAAGGGAACCUGAGUAAAGAAGUCAUCAUUAGGAUAUUGACUUAAAUAGUUCAUGAAACAUAUACUGUAGGAAGCAAGGAGGUGGAACACCAAUUAAUGCACCUCUUUAACUCUGAUAGCUCUCUUCCCUUUGCAAAUAUAUAGCCGUACUUCAAACUUGUCCACCUCUGGCUUUUUAAACCCAGAAGCAAAACCACCCUCCAUGGGUAUGAUGCAGGGUUUAAAAUAGGAAAGGAAUUUAUCAGACUCGUAGCACUGUGGUUCCCUGUGCUGUACCGCACGACCCCCAAGCAUGCUGUCAAGUUCAACCGUCUUAAUCGCGGCAGUUCCAGCUUCAUCCUGCGUAAAAACAACAGCAAUUUCGAGAAGUGGGCAUAUGAAAUGUCAUUUGUAGCAUAGAGAAAUCUAAGGUGGUGGUACAGAAAUUAAAAUCUACCUGGCUAGAAUCUUUCCCGAUCCAGAAAUGGAUGUCAAAGAUAUAAGCACCUCCUUUACAGGUGGUCUAAAAAAAGGGGGCAGAUGCAUUACUAAAAAUACAAUUUCUGUAGGGAAAUAGAAUGGUGCCUCUGGAAAAAGGAAGGGUUAAAAGCAUUUACCUGCAGAACUAUAUACGAAUCUCCACAGUAGAAUUUGCCAUAAUCUGAUUUUGGCAAAGCGACUGGCUUGAAAUCCUCGAUCCUCCAUAUUUCUGUUCCUCUGUGUUUAAGUUAAGGGGCGCAUACCCAACAUAAAGAGAAUACAGAAGCAUUGCGUUGAAUGAAAAAUAGCUAAAACACGCCCAGUAAGGAUACGGUUUAUGGCCAGCUCCUUGAAAUGCGGGCUCGAGCACCACUUUUGCAUUCGACAUUGUGCAGGGAUGGAUAUAUGUUACUUGGACACUACAGAGAGGCUCCCACCACCCGAUGGACAACAGUCAAUAGAACACUAGAAACUCAUGUGCUGCAUGCAAGAGUGCACCUAGAAGAAAAUGUAAACCAUUAGAGACAAGAGAAACCACCAGAAGUUUCAGAUAUAAACAGAAUGCAUACAAAGUAAUGUUUGCAAAGAAUAGAUUUGCUCUCAGUUUUACGUUAUCACGGAAACCAAAACGCAUGCCUGGCUGGUCUUUUUUUCCCUAUAUUUUUAUCACACAUCACAUCCAAAUUCAUCCCCGAUCGAGCACUCACGGAUGGAGCGCUAACGAUGGAUCGAUCGAUCCAACAAGCGAACACCGACCGCAGACAGACAGCUUAACUGAAGGCCGAUCUGAUCGCAUCGCAGUCACGUACGCAUCCACGGCAAGGGCAGAUCAAUUCAACCCGCGGGAUCGUUAGAUCCUGCUCCCUUCAUCUUUAAUUAUAAGUCAUUUUAAAAAAUUUGGAGACUCAAAAUAUUUUAAGUUUAACUAAAAUUAUAAAAAAAAUUAUAAAAUUUAUAAGAUUAAGUAAAUAUACUAUGAAAAAUAUAGUUAGAAUAUUUAAUUUGUAUCAUGUUAUCAUAUAAAUUUGGUUUACUCUUUGAGAUUUUUAGAAUAACUGGGAUCGAAACAAGCCUUGUUUAGUUCCCAAAAAAUUUUGCAAAAUUUUUCAGAUUCCCCAUCACAUCGAAUCUUUAAACUCAUGCAUGGAGUAUUAAAUAUAAACAAAAAUAAAAACUAAUUAGACAGUUUGAUCGAAAUUGACGAGACGAAUUUUUUGAGUCUAAUUAAUUCAUAAAUACAAACGAAAGUGCUACAGUGUCGAUUUUGCAAAAAUUUUUGGAACUAAACAAGGCCCAAAGGGAGGGAGGAAAGGGAAAAAGGAAAUGCAGAACCGUGGGAUCAUAUGAGGAGGCCGUCGAUCGAGCGGGUACCUGCUAGACGUGUAACGCCGGUCGCCGAUCGAUCGAUGGAAGCGGAGCGGAGCGGGGGGUGUAGCCUCGAGCCAGAGAGGGGAGGAAGGUGGCAGGCGAGCGGCGACGGGAAGGGGACGAGACGACCGAUCGAUCCCAGUGUGUCUCCGAGGCGACGUAGGAAUGGGGCGGAUUCGAUGGGGGUGGUGGAAGUGGAAUGGAUGGAUGUUACUACUACGCGACGCCGCGGCUUUUGCGGUUGCCUGAUUUUAGAAAUGGACCCCCUAUUUAUACGGGCGCGCGCGCGGCGAUCUGCCUGCGCCCUAUACGUGCGGUGCGGCAGCGACGGGGGAGGGACGGAUGGUCGGUGGCUGCUAGGAAAAGGUGCGAUCGAGCUCGGAGUACGAGAGGGGACAACGGAGAACGGACGUCGUUGCUACUGGCUGCCUGCGGCGUUCGUCACCACGAGUGUCCGGCCAGGGCCGCGCUACUGCUACUGCUAGUGGUAGUGGCAUUAGCAUUGCUCGCCCGGCCAGCAGAGGUACGGUACGGCCGCCGGUGACUGACAAGAUUCGGUCUCGUAGCGAGCGCCGUAUGGUAGGUACGGUGGUGAGCUAGGCCGGCCAUCAGCAUCAGGGUCCAGCUGCGGUCCGCAUGAUGCGGCCGAUAAUUGCGAGCUUUCGGUCGAGAUGCAUGGGAAGCUGCAGUGAUCGUGGAUGUGAUGCACACAGCGCACACGCACUCAUCAUUUCGACAGCUACGGUAACAACGUACGGGUUCACGCACGGGGGGCGCCACCUGACCUGACGCUUCCCCACCACCGCCCAUCAGCCCAUCCAACUAGACUGUGAACAUGGGCUGUCCUACCCGGCCAGGCCCAAUCAGUGUACCAGGUAGGCUUGGGCUCUAAAUCAUAAACAAAUAGAAAAAAGAUUUGAUGUGACAGGAAAUUUUGAAAAGUUUUUUAUUUUUGGGGUGAACUAAGGUCUUAUUUAGAUGCGAAAAUAUUUUCGAUUUCGCUACUAUAGCACUUUCGUUUGUUUGUGGCAAAUAUUGUCUAAUCAUGGACUAACUAGGAUCAAAAGAUUCAUCUCGCGAUUUACAGUUAAACUGUGUAAUUAGUUUUUAUUUUUGUCUAUAUUUAAUGCUUCAUGCAUGUAUCGAAAGAUUAGGUGUGACAGAGAAUUUUAAAAACUUUUUAGUUUUUGAGGUGAACUAAAUAAGGCCUAAACAAGACCUAAUUUUGUAUAAUAAAAUGUAAAAUGAACCUCUUUAUUGUGUUCCUCUCCUCGGAAUAGUAAAAGAAUAGACAUAUAUGGAGUGUUUCAUUUGAAGUCCAGACGAAGGAGUUACGCUUUUCAAAAAAAGUUGCAACCGAAGUUGUGAUCCUUAUCGGACGUUACGAGAGUCUGAAGUUUCGACACACGUUAGAACUUUCGACGAACGUCAAGAAACCUGGGGAAAAAAACCCUGCUCAGGUGUCUAGGGUCGGAAAAACCUAAUAAAAAACUUUGUUUGGAAAUGAUCUUUUAGUGCUGCAUAUUUGAUUUUUCCCAAACUAAAUUAGGACUCGACAAAGGAAAACUAUCUAAUGCACAGAGCUAGCACGAUCGUUUCAGCAUUUCAACUGCUCCAAGCCUCCAACUCAUAAACACACUUCCAAGUACGAAACAGACUGAGGAAAUUCCAAAAUCGGUUGUUAAUUAACUCCUUGGCCGGCCUCAUCCAAAUGGAAGAAGGUUUAAAGUCCUGAUGCCCCCGAUAAUCUCAUCAACUGCGUUCGGCAGGCGGUCCAAAUCGCCGCCGCUCCGCUCCAUCAUCCACGCGCGAAUUAUCUAUCCCUUCCCGAUUAAUUAAUCUCCGUGCCGCGAUCGUCACGGAUUCCUUCUUCCUCGUUCCAAUUCCAACUGAGCCGGUCAGCAGCUGCAGCUGCAGAGUGAGAGUGAUCGGCUACUUGUACGCGUGCGCGAGCAUCACCGUGCAGGUAGCAACCGGGGUGGACUGAGCGCGGUCCCCAACACGGCAACACGGGCCACAAUUCAGCCAUGAGGCUCUCGCCGCCGCGGCGCCUCCUCCCCCUGGCCCCCUUCCUCCUGCUGCUGCUCACGCUCCUCUCGCCGCCUCGAGCGGCGGCAGCAGCGGGCGGCGGCCCAUCCGCGUGGGUGGCGCUCCGCGGGGCGGCGGGCAGCCGGAAGGCGUCUCCGGCGGAGCAGGAAGCGGCGGCCGCGGGGCUGCUCCGCCGGCUGCUCCCUUCCCACGCGGGCAGCUUCAGCUUCCAGAUCGACUCCAAGGUUUGAGCAUCCUAGUGCGGCUACUUCCUGAGUUCCUGGUUCCUCCCAGUCCCCGGUCCCCCGCUUGUUUCGGGGCAGCAUUGGUUGACUUCCCUGUGCCCGUUUUUCUGUGCUCGCUCCAGGGCGCCGUCUGCGGUCAAUCAAGCUGCUUCAGGAUAAGCAACGUCGUUGACGGCUCGGGCAAAGGUGGAGCGGAGAUUCUGUAUGUUCCUCUUUUUCCCUCGUAUACUUGCCAUGAUGCAUGAUGCCGUCAACUUUGGCCGCGUAGAUGAUCCAUCUGAGGUCUGAGGCUGUGCUUUGUGGCUUGCCUCACCACUGUAUGGUGGGUGCCCAGCUGGCAUCGAUUCAUGAGGUUUUGAUUUGCAUAAUAGACAAACAUGGUGAUGAAGUCGCUCAUUCCUGUUCUAAAUUUUGCUCUUUGUAUGAUCGCUCCUCAUUAAGUUGGCGCAUUAGUUUGCUUAUAUAAAAUCCAAAAAAUAGUCCAGCGGCUUGGGUUCCUUAAUUGAGCAUUGAGAAUGCAUGUAAUGCAAGAACUGCAAAAAUUGUACAUUUGUUAUGACUACAUCGUGAAGGUGAAUGCAAUCACCUCUUCAUGUUUAUGCUAUACAGGAUCCAGGGAACCACAGGUGUUGAGCUUGCGUCUGGCCUACAUUGGUAUUUGAAAUACUGGUGUGGUGCACAUAUCUCCUGGGACAGGACUGGGGGUGCCCAGCUGGCAUCGAUCCCUUCUCCUGGAUCUCUGCCACGGGUGCAGGGCAAGGGAGUCAAGAUUGAGCGUCCUGUUCUGUGGAAUUACUAUCAGAAUGUCGUCACUUCUAGCUGUGAGUCCUUUCUUGCCUCUAGUGCUUCUAUUGCAAAUGAAGAACUGAUGUUUCAGCAUUUGUUCUCCUACACCCUAAUCCUACAGAUUUCAUCUUAUCAUUUUUGUCUCUGUUGACCGGACCCUUCCAUACUUCUAACAUUUAUCCAACUGGAUUUAUUUAUAAUUUCUAAUUUCAAAAGAAGUGACUCUGAAGCUUCCCACUAUUUAAGUGGAUUCCAACAUUUUUUUCUCUGACAAAAUUCAUGUAGCGUUCUAUAGACUCCUAUGUGUGGUGGGACUGGAAAAGAUGGGAGAAAGAAAUUGACUGGAUGGCACUUCAAGGAAUUAACUUGCCUUUAGCAUUUACUGGACAGGAAUCUAUCUGGCAGAAGGUUUUUAAGGUAGUGUGACAGACACAUCUACUGCAUAUUCCUGUUCUUUGUUUUUUCUUGUCCCUACGUCUUUUUGAUCUGCCUUGUUUAGUUUCCAAAAAAAUUUGCAAAAUUUUUCAGAUUCCCCGUCACAUCGAAUCUUGCGGCACAUGCAUGGAGCAUUAAAUAUAGAUUAAAAAAAUAACUAAUUGCACAGUUUGUCUAUAAUUUGCGAGACAAAUCUUUUGAGCUUAGUUAGUCUAUGAUUGGACAAUAUUUGUCAAAUACAAACGAAAAUGCUGCAGUGUCUAUUUUGCUACAUGUUUUGAGUUUCUUUUCAACCUCCUGUUGCUAUGGGGGCCUUGUUAAUUAUUGCAUUUUAUUUCAGAGUUUUAAUGUUACCGACAGAGAUUUAGAUGAUUUUUUCGGUGGACCAGCUUUCCUGGCUUGGGCUAGAAUGGGGAACUUGCAUGGGUAAGUAAACAGUUCUUCUACGUGUUCAGGAAAAAAAACUAUAAAAUAAAUGAGGCUACAUUCUCUGAUAUAGGUGUUUGUUUAUUAGUUCAGAUAGCAUGAUGAAUAGCUUAUUCUUAAAAAAUAAGGAGCCAUAUUCUUGUUUAGAAGUGUCGAAGAUGUAUCUUUAGUAGGUGUUCACGGUUUGGGAUUUUGGUUCAGUGGAACUCUGCAUUUUGCUGCAUUGAAUACAGAUUAUUAAAAGUUUCUCUUCCUGCUUGUUUCUCUCUGCAUAUCAUUGUUCCCAUUUCAUGUGACCAAAGAUUCAUUCUAACUUAAUUAUAGCAUUGACCACAACAUUGCAGUUGUUCUAUACUUAACUAGUUAACUUUGUAUGAUAUUAAGACUUUUCGGAGAUGAUCAUUUGUACAUAUCUGACAUAUAAAAAGUAACGCAUAUAUAAUUCUUCAAUUUCUUUAGCUGGGGUGGACCACUGUCACAAAACUGGUUGGAUCAACAAUUGGCAUUGCAGAAGAAAGUACUAUCCCGGAUGAUUGAGCUUGGGAUGGUCCCUGGUACGUUUGUGUUUUAUUGUCCAAAAUUACUAUUCUUCAACCUUUAAGAUAUGCCAUUGCAUUUAUACCACCUUUCCAUCCUUUUUUGGCAAUGUAUUUCUUAUAUGAAGUCAAAAGAUCAAUGGACUUUUUACUAGCAAUAUUCUAUUACUACAGUGGGUUAAAUGCUGUUUCAAGUUAUACUUAUGACGCACUACUACUUUACAGUUCUUCCAUCGUUCUCAGGAAAUGUUCCAGCUGUUUUCGCAAAAUUAUUUCCAUCAGCCAACAUUACCCUGCUUGGUGAUUGGUAACAUACUUUCUUAUAUCGUUUGUACCAAUAUUUUCUGAAAAUUUAUGCUGGCUUAGGCAGUAGUUAUGGUGACCAAGAAGUCACCAAGUCCAAAUUUACUGGUGAUCAUAUUCAUAAUGCCUCUUGACAAGUAACUUCUGUAAAUUACUUGGACUGUAGGACAUCUGGAAGAGUGUAAUGGACAAGAAGGAUUCAGACUCACUUAGUUACAAACAUUUUAUAGUUGGGUUAACACUAUAUAGGGCUACUGGCACGGUUGCCAGCCAACAACUUAUUUGUAAGGGACAAUAUAUGCAUACAUGAUCUUAUAGCUUUACACGAUAUGUUUUUAUAUCCUCAGUUUUCAAGAAAAAGAAACUGCAGUUUUGACUCAACUUCUUCGCACUAGACUGUAGAACUAGAAGUCUUAAGUCAAAAUUUGCUACAGGACACGUAACCUGAUGCCGAGCUGCCUGCGGACACAAAAAAGUGCUACAUGCUGACAGUCACUCUGUCAAUGCGAGAAUUUGCUAGAAGACACCGUGUCCAUUAAAAUAAUCAUUUCCAACCUAGAGGAGACGGUGUCUUCCAGCAAAUUAUCACAUUGCCAGAGUGACUGACAGCAUUUAUCACUUUUUUUUAUGUCUGCAGGCUGCUUGACAUCAGUCUAUGUGUCCUGUAGCAAAUUUUUGCCAAGUCUUAAACGUAUCAAGUCUGUGUACUGCCAGUGCUUAUGUGCCUUAUUUCAACAUGAAAGUAUCAGUUGAUUAGCAUUUCAUGUUUUCAGUUAUAAAACUUCUUACUGAAAAUAUCUUAUGUUGUUUUGAUUUUCUACGUGAUAUUUUAUACUUCAGGAAUACAGUUGAUGCUAAUCCUAAGUGGUGCUGCACUUAUCUUCUUGAUCCUUCUGAUUCAUUGUUUAUAGAUGUGGGGCAGGCUUUUAUCAGGCAACAGAUAAAAGGUAUAUACCUGCCAUUUUUGUGUGCAAGAUAUGAUCAUAGGAAACUUGAAUUUGUUCUGAAGUUUCUGGAUCAAAUAAAUCAAUUAAUAAGAAUGCACUUUUGAUUUAUGUUUUUGUAUAAGGUUUCGUAUUCUUUCUUUUUUGAACUUUUCUGGAUGUUUGCAGAGUACGGCGAUGUAACCAACAUCUAUAACUGGUAAGGCCUACUAAUCUGCUUCUUUGAAAUGUUGCCUGAAUGCAUUCUGUGAUUGCUCUGUGUAUCCUUUGCAUGUUGGGUCACAACGCUUAGCUGUCAUAUGCAAGGAUCACAAUUGAUUGGUUCUGUUUCUAUAAGCCAUACCCUAGUUCAUCCUUGCCUAUAUAUGUGUAACCUUUCACCCUCCAUAAUCAAUCAAUCAAUUCCGUACCAUAUUCUUGCUUACAGAUACAUAUCGUCCUGUUUAAGGUAUUGAUAGUGGAUAGUUCAAAAUUCUUGAUUUAUUGGUCAUGCAUUAUGUCAUUCUGAUCAUGUCAUUGGCUAGUGGUUUAGCAUGCUUUUGAGCAUCCUGUGUAUAUUCUUGUGCUCGCUUGCUGUUUCUAGUUUCUACAUCAUGUACACAUUGCACAUUUUACAGUUUUGGUUGUUACUUUCAGUGACACGUUCAAUGAGAAUACCCCACCAACAGAUGAACCAGCAUAUAUUUCAUCACUUGGUUCUGCUAUCUAUGAAGCAAUGUCCCGAGGUAACAAGAAUGCAGUGUGGUUAAUGCAGGUGUGCUCACUCUUCUUUUACCUUUUAAAUGUAAAAACAUUCUGCAUUUAUCAUUUUCUGUUGUGAUAGCAACCAUAUAUCCUCUAGACGAUAGUAACUUGUCCAGUUAACAAGAUGGAGUGCAGAGUACAAUGUAAAGAAAUACACCAUACAAUCUAUUAUUUAUAGUGGUUCAUUCCAUGUUCUUUUUUUUAAAAAAAAAAGAAAGUUAUGUAUUAAAUCUUACUCUUUGGAUAGAGAAAAAUCUUGUGUUUUCUUUAUCAGACAUCAUUAGAUGAACACAUAAUUGGAAAUCUUUGAACUUUACUUUGUGCUUAUUGAUGCAGGGUUGGUUAUUCUACUCAGAUGCUGCAUUCUGGAAGGAGCCACAAAUGAAAGUAAGCUCAAGUCUUGUCUUCAAUGAGUUUCACUUUGAACAGCCAAAUAAAUGUGAUAACUCAUAGAAUGAAGGUUAAUGCAUAUGUUCUUUGUCCUUUUAACACCUAUUUACAAAUGGGUUAACCUGCCCAAUUUUCAGGCACUUCUUCACUCUGUUCCAAUUGGUAAGAUGAUAGUUCUCGAUUUAUUUGCUGAUGUCAAGCCCAUUUGGAAAAUGUCCUCUCAGUUCUACGGUGUACCUUACAUCUGGUAUGUCAUCUUUUAACAACCCCUCCCUCCCAUCUUGUAACUCCAAACCAUUAUUUUGUAUUCACAUUGUCAAUUUAAAAUAUGAAUAUAAUUCCUGAUUUUCAACCAUAUUUACUGAUUGAUUUACUCAAUCUAGGUGCAUGUUACACAACUUUGGUGGGAACAUUGAAAUGUAUGGCGUACUUGAUUCAAUUUCAUCUGGCCCCAUUGAUGCCCGUACAAGUUACAAUUCAACAAUGGUAAGUGCAAAUUUUGUCCUAUGGAGCAAACAUUUCAUUUUCAUGUGUGAGUUGAAAAUCUGUCAUCUGCUGUUUCAAUGUUGAAGUGAAUCAAUCCCUCCUUUCUUGCUGGAGUUCUGUGCUCCAGUGGUGGAGCUUUUUUUUUUUUGAAAACCACAGGAGAGCUGCGUUUCAUUGCAUUAUAGAGAAGAAAAAUAGGGUGGGUCCCCAACAAGAUCCUCACUCAUACGGGGACCAAAUAUGAGUGAGGCAAUUACACACACACCUUUACUGGGCUCAUAGAAAUCAGCUGAAGCUAGACCCUAACUAAGCAGCCCUAGUCACCCAACGCCAAACCAAGCUCAAGGAGCUUCUUUGCCCCAGCCAUGCACCAGAGACUAUGCUCAUUCUUUAGCUCACUCCAAAGCAUGCUCAGCGAAGGAGAAACCCCCUCAAAGACACAUGUGUUUCUAUGUUUCCAAAUAAUCCAGGCCCCUAAAAUAAUUAGAGAAUUCACUCCUCUCCUGUGUUCCUUGCUCACUCUGCUGAUCGUCUUGCGCCACCAUUCAGCAAAACUCCGCUCGUUUUGCCGGGGAGUUGAAUCAGCUAAGUUUAAUGGGGUGAGUAAUUUGCACCAUACUUGUCUUGCCAUCACACAAGAUGUUAGCAAAUGUUGUAUUGUCUCCUCUUCCUGAUCGCAUAGGGGGCAUUUAUCCGGAUGUGAAAGACCCCUCUUAGCAAGCCUAUCGGCUGUCCAACAUCUAUUACGGAUCGCCAGCCACAAGAACAUUUUGCAUUUGCUUGGAGCCCAAGACUUCCAUAGGCGGUGCCACGGCUCAAAAGUCGCUGCACCAUAGAAAAAAGCUUUAUAUGCAGAUUUGGAAGAGUAGCAGCCACUUGUAUCUAGCCUCCAUAUGUGGCGAUCCUCUUGGUCAGUCAGAGUGAUACUCAUGAGACAAUCACAAAGCUGUAGGAAUUCUCUCAUACCGAUCCAGGAUAGGCCGCCAUGAAUGUCUCGUGCCCAUUGCACGUUAGAGAGAGCUUCAGCCACAGUACGUCUUUUGCGAAUUCUUGGCGAGACACAAGCAAAAACAGUUGGUGCAAGAUUUUCAAUCGAGCACCCAUGCAGCCACCGAUCGGUCCAAAAGAGAGUAUUUUGUCCAUUCCCUAUCUCUGUCGUGACUGCAAUAGAGGACAAAGCUAUAGAAUUAGGAUGUGUUGGGAGUUCGAGAUCAGACCAUGGACGGUCAGCUUUAGUCUUUUUCAGCCACUGCCAUCUGACUUGCAAAGCCCAGGCCAUCACUUCUAAGUUAGGGAUGCCCAAUCCCCCAAGAUCCAACGGUCGCAUGACCUUCUCCCAAGCCACCAGACAGCAGCCUCCAUUUGCUUUUUCCUUUCCUUGCCACAGAAAUCCCCUUCUGAUCUUGUCCACUGCCUUGAUGAACCAUGACGGGAUGUUGAUAGCAAUUAGCAAAUGAAUAGGCAUGGCAGAGAGGACAAAUCGGACUAAUGUUGCACGUCUAGCCCUAUUCAUAAGGGCUGCCUUCCAGCAUGGAAGUUUGUCCGCAAUUUUUUCUAUCCAUGGCAUGAGAUCCCUCUUGCGAAGCUUCCUGUUUGAUAGUGGUAGGCCCAAAUACUUGCAAGGGAAUUCUGAAAUUGUACCCGGAAGAAUAUCUUGAAUUACUCCCAAAGACCCUUCUGUACAACUGAUGGGAAUGAUAUUGCUUUUCUGAAUAUUAGUUCGCAAUCCUGAAGCAUCUCCAAACACCUUGAGGAUAUCUCUGGUGAUCUGCAGCUCCCCUUCAAGUGGCUUAAUAAAUAAGGCAACAUCAUCAGCAUAUAGGGAAAGCCUUUGUCCUGUCACCCGUGGGGAUAAAGGUUGCAACAGCCCCUCAUUCGCUGCCUUCACAAACAGACUGUUAAGCACAUCCAUCACUAAAAUAAAGAGCAUCGGGGAUAAAGGGUCCCCUUGACGAAGGCCUCGUUGAUGUUGUAUGGGUUCUCCAGGUUCCCCGUUCAAUAAAAUUCGAGUUGAGGAUGAUGCCAGCAGAUUGGCCACCAAAUUGCGCCAAAUGCAUCCAAAGCCCAAGUGUUGUAGCACUUCUAAAACAGUGGUGGAGCUAAAGCCAGGCUAAAGGGGGCCAUGAGCCCAUGACCCCUCUUGAUUCUUUAAAUUUCUUAAGAAAACACCUUAUCCUAGGUAACAACAGAGCAUGGUUUACAUAGCUUGGCCUCCUGUACAUCUACCAUCAUGCUCCAUCGCUGCUGUGCUUGUUGUUCUUCUUGAUUGAUCGUUCCAUCUUUCAUGAUAUGCAUGUGUUUCAGAACUGAUAUAUUUUCAGUGCUGUAUCUAAUCUGACUAUUUAUGCAAUGUUUGACUCUUGCUCUUCUCUAGAUUGGUGUUGGCAUGUGCAUGGAGGGAAUAGAGCACAAUCCAGUUGUUUAUGAACUUAUGUCUGAAAUGGCAUUUCAUAAUAAGAAGGUUGAAGUUGAGGUAAAUAGUACAAAUGUAAACUUAGCCUUCGAAUUAUGAUUUACUGCUAUUCUUAUUUCUUCAUCUUGGAACUAUUACAGCUGUAUAGACUCUAUAGAGUAUGAGGUGCCAUUGUAGACAUAGUUUGCACUUUAUACAUAAUUAUAGGGUACAUUCUGUUUAUGCACCACUACAUAAAUUUUAUCAAUCUAGUCAAAAGAUAACUGCUUCUGAAAGUUCUUUCCCUUCAUGUGAUUUCAGUGAGAUCAGGAUUAAUGGAAGUUUUCUGUCUUGAGUUAAAUGUUGAACUGUGUGUCAAAGAAGGAUUGCCAAAAAUACCGUACUUUGUAAUUUGUGUAGUUUCUUGGUACAUAUGCUUUGUACGACCUUGUUUACAUGAGGUGAAUGAAGUACAAACUGUGCUACAGAUAGUAUUUGUCUCUUUCCUUCCGCAGCAGAUUUGCUAUGGCUAUUGUUUUAUAAUCGUCUAACAUCUUGACUGCAGGUUUUGCUUUGAUAGUCGAUUACCAUCUAACAUUUGUCCAUAACCUUCCAGGACUGGUUAAAAACAUACUCCUAUAGGAGAUAUGGUCGAGCGAAUGCUGAAAUAGAGAAAGCUUGGAGAUAUUUGUAUCAUACAAUAUACAAUUGCACCGAUGGAAUUGCGGUGUGAUUUCAAACGAGCUCCUCUGUUGCAACUAUCCAGAGCCUGUCCCGAGUAACAUAUCCUUAUAUUUUCGUUGCAGGAUCAUAAUAAAGACUACAUAGUUGAAUUUCCAGACAUAAGUCCCAGCUCAAUUAGUUCUCAGCUUUCUAAACGAAGGGGUAUGUCAAUUAUGAGAAACCAUAGGAGGUUUUUCUUAAGUGAGGUGUCUGGAAGCCUACCACAUCCGCACCUAUGGUAUUCUACGAAGGAGGCCAUCAAAGCCCUUGAACUAUUUCUUGAUGCAGGAAGCACAUUUUCAAAAAGUCUCACAUAUAGGUACAAUAUGCAACUUUCUUUUAAGUCUUGAGAUUGUCUGUUCUUAUUUUCAGCUAUUGCCAACUCUAUUCCUGUAGUUUACAGUUGUCAAUUGAUUUAAGUGCCAAAUCAGGGUACCAAAUGAACACUUUUUUCCUUUGUUUUCUGGUUUAAUGAGUAAAACUAAUUAUGCUGCUUGGGCAUGUUAUUGCUUUAACUGAUCCUUACUGCUGGGUGAUAACUUUUACCUCAGGUAUGACCUUGUCGACCUAACUAGGCAGUGCCUAUCCAAACUAGCAAAUGAAGUGUACCUUGAUGCGAUGAGUUCGUACCAAAAGAAAGAUUCAAAUGGCCUGAAUUCUCACACGAGGAAAUUUCUUGAGAUCAUCAUGGAUAUUGAUACACUACUAGCUGCUGAUGAUAACUUUCUGCUGGGCCCCUGGCUGGAAAGUGCAAAAAGCCUUGCUAUAACUGAAAAGGAACGCCAGCAGGUAUGUUACACAUGCAUUCUUCAUCUAAUAUCUGGAUCCUAUAUCAAUCCUGUUAUUGAGGACUGAAUUGAACCUUUUUACCAGUAUGAGUGGAACGCCAGAACACAGGUGACGAUGUGGUAUGACAACACAGAGACCGAGCAGAGUAAAUUGCAUGACUACGGUAAUGCCUAGUACAAUAGUUUGUUAGUUGAUAGCUACUAGCUGUAUGGUUCAGCUUUGUGUUACUAAUGUUCUUCUCCGUAAACACCAAAUUACCAGCCAAUAAGUUUUGGAGCGGGCUACUGAAGAGCUAUUACCUUCCAAGGGCGUCAAAAUACUUCGCCUACUUAACAAGGAGCCUGCAAGAGAACCAGAGCUUCCAGCUGGAGGAGUGGAGGAAGGAUUGGAUCUCAUAUUCCAACGAGUGGCAGUCCGGGAAGGAGGUGUAUGCCGUGAAGGCCACGGGUGAUGCUUUGGCCAUCGCCAGGUCACUGUACAGAAAAUACUUGAGUUCUUGAGCUAGUCGUCGCUGCCAGAGUGCCAGAGCCUUGGAAUAAUUGUUGCCGUGGGGUAAUUGUGCACGGAUGUUACAAAUGAUUGAUUGUGUAAUUGUGUUCUUCAGUAAGUUGCCUGUUAAAACAGAUGCCACGAAAGGCAGAUGCAUAUGUUAGCAAGUUGUAGGGUUGAUAUGUGAAAUAUUUGUCUUCCAUGAUCACGUGAUGUAGAGCGAAACCCUCAGCAUUGAUUUCUUGAGCUGUUGCUGCUGCGGUGCUGCCUCGGAGCUGAAGGCCAAGUAAAACAGUGUGCCUUUUGCAUUGCAGUUGGCAAAUUUUGAGACUUGCACUGCAGACUGCAGACUGCAGGCGUACUCCGCAGAGAGGUUUAGGAUGCAGAAACCGCUGAAAUAUGAACAUCGCUCACAAGGUUCUGGGACUCGGCUUUACUUUCUUUGAAACGUAUAGUUUUUUUUAAGGUCCCGUUUGGUCCUCUUGCUAAAUUUAGCCAACUAAAAUUAUUUUAGUUACUCUUGGAUGACUAAUAGAUCUAAAAUAUUUAAGCUCUUUUUUAGUCAGUGUUUUUAGAAUUUUAGCUGGUAAAGUGAUUAAAAUUUAGUUGGCUAAAAUUUAGCAAAGGGAACUAAAUAGACGCUUAAUGUAACUCAACUUUACUAGGGAAAAAAAGAUCAAAACUACUGUGAACUUUCUGCAAAUCAAGUAGCAAGAAUCACCAUGACUCAACAAUAAUACACAUCGCAGAUUCACGUACAGUUAAAGAUGAAUGAAGAAGCAACCUAAGAAGCAAAAAGUCUUGCUCUAUGAAUGGUAAAAACGAGCAGGAGAUCUGCCUCUUUUAAAUUGAGAACAUUAUUGAGCAAAAUAACAGCUGUCAACAGGAAUAUUUUGCUCAAAUUUGCUUCAAAUGCAGCAUACAAAUAAGAAAAAGAGAAACUUCCCUGAUGUAUUAAUGGAAGAAACGAGCGAGAAAUAUGCCCCUUCUAAUGUUGAGCAAAAAAAACAGCUGUAGGUAGGAUCAUUUUACUCAAAUUUCCUUCAAAUGCAGCACAGCAAAAAAAAACUUGUUGCAAAAAAAAAAAAGAGCCUGUCAGACAACCCAUGGGCCACCCCAGCUAGGCAGGACCCAACCAGGAACGAUCCUCUACAGCACCAGACCCAGCAUCAAGCUUAAUCCUGGCCGUUAAUCACGCUCUGGCCCACAGGUCAUGACUCAUCAACCAGGCUUAAGUGCUUGCCUCCUUAUUAGUCAAGGAUGCAGCGGUACGAUCCUAUAGAACAGAUCCUGUUCAAGUAAGGUCGUGCUGCAAGGCUCCAGAGCUGAGGUUUUAAGCUGGCUCUCACUCGCCUGAGCAAGCGAGGUGGUGCUAAUCGGUGGGACUGGGCGACUGGCCAGCAAUCCCACUCCCACCCAGCAUGUUGCGUACUGGGCCGCUCCAUUCUGGUAUAUGCUCCCCUAUGUGUGGGCUUCAGGUCGAGCCGGCCCAUCGAGGCUGCAUUAGCUUUACCUCUGUUGAUGAUGCUGAUUCCUCACCUAAGCUCAGCUGAUUCCUAGUAGGUGAUUAUAGUUGGCCCUCCACAGAGCUAAGCAUAAAAAUGUUACUACUAACCAUCACAAAUCGGUGUAAACACAACAGUAUGAAGUACGUCAUAAUGAGCUAAGCAGCAAUGGGCGAUGUUGUGCGAGUGCGUCGUCGUCUCUCAUCUAAAAUCGAUUGCCUUGUACUACACCGUCGACUGGCCUGGAGAGAUCGGCGUCCAGCAGGAGCAUAGCCAAGGCUGGCUCCAUUUCUGACGACCAUCGGCACCAUGGGCUCGGCAAGCUCCGAGCAGGAGCUGCCUAGCUAUUAGCAUCUCGACAACCGCGCGCGGGCGUGCCGGGCUUCUCGUCAGGCUUUUCUUGGACGCAGAGGAGGCCGACCACAAUUGAGUUCUUAAAGGCCUUGUUUAGUUGGUGAAAAUCUUUUAUUGUAAUAAUUUUAUUUGUAUUUGAUAAUUAUUAUCUAAUUAUAGACUAACUAUGUUUAAAAGAUUCGUCUUAUAAAUUACACAAACGGUAGAAUUAGUUAUUUUUUAUCUAUAUUUAAUGCUCUAUAUAUGUGUCCAA